rnacentral:lncRNA from 1 species
GGAGGUGGUGGAGGUUGGCACGCGGCGAACUUGAUGGUGACCCUGUGCUACCUCUCCCUGCAGGUGCGCGGCCGCUUCCAUCAGCACUGCCAUGAGCGCAUCCUGCCCCACACAUUUGUUAUGCACAUUGUAGCGCUUGAGCAGCAAAACAAAUUUGUGGAUUGCCAGCUAAAUCAGGUUCUCAGCGAUGAUUCAGGGGCAACUCGAUCAGACGUUGCACCUGAUGAUACGGCACUAUCACCUUGUAGUCAGAUUGAUUGGUUAAUCAAAGGUUAACCGCCUUCCUCCAAAUUGAAUGGAUCGUAACAGACGUAACGAGCAGGAAAAGCCAUAUAAACGGGUACAGUAUGAUUUCAUUAUUCCAUCAGCCCAUCAGGUGGGACAACUUCCAAAGGCAUCAUAGGAAUUUUAGAUUGCAGAGCAAAUCCUAUGAUGACACCAUAGGAAAAACUGCUCAAGUUGCGAAGCUAUAGGAUUAUACAAAGCCAACAAGUUUAGGCCUAUUCAAAAAUUGGCAAAACAUGCCCUGGCCGACAAGCAUAGGCUGCUUGUCUAAUCGUCCAGCUCGAUGAUCUUCACAACAGAUGAAUCUCCCACCUUCUGGCAAACGACAACGCGAUCAUGGGACAUGGUUACACCCGAAGCUUUGCCGUGGUCAAGAGCAACCUUCAGAACUGACUGGUAGAUUCAGCCUGAAAGACAAAGUAGGAUCAGCAGUAAGGCACAAGUCACCACCCAGUCAGAGUAGGAAUAAUUUUAGCAACCAAGCUAACCAAGCUCAAGCUGUCGGAAUUAGCAUAGAAGCUCCAAACCAGCAAUAAAGAAUUCAAGUGUGUGCUUCCCAUACCCAAGAACUUUAAAGGUGAACAAAUAUGUAGUGCAUGUUCACAGUUCAUGUAGCCAAUAAAAGAAACUUACUGGACGGCGUGGAUCGGCAAGCAUUGGAAAGAGGCCUCUAACUAUGAGCGAUUGUCUUGCCUGCAGAAAAAGAAUACAAAAAUAUGAGCUUACAUCACCUAAAAUGAGCACGUGUCUUUAUACAAAGUACAAAAAGGUAAAUUGUAAGGUUCUUCCCUACUAUUUCCAUAGAAUGUUAAUGUAGACAUGUUUGCAACAGAACCACGAGCGCACUUGUGCCACGAGCUCGACGCGGUCGUGGAGCUCUACCAGGCCCUGCGCCGCGACAGCCGCGGCGGGCACCGCGCGGCGAACGGCGGAGGGGAAACAGCCCGCCGCUUGGCGCGGCAGAGGCAGGAGGUCGAGCGCCUCGGGGGGCCUCCCUCUGGAACCGCAGCUUCGACUACGCCGUCCGCACUGCUCGCUAGGUCGCUCUUCACCAUCGUGACGAGGAUCACAGAGGUGUUCGACCUGGAGCCAACGAACAUCUCAAUCUCCUCCAUGGAUGACGACUCCAACUCCAAGGUCUCGCGGCUUUCAUGGAGCAGCUCGUUCAUGAGCAACAGCAUGCAUGCAGUCCAUGGUGUACCCUUCCGAUGUCGUGGCCGUGGACACUAGUCCUCAGAGGAUGCUGCGUGCAAGAUCCAGCAAGACUACCAGCGGAUCAUCACACGAACACGAGGCCUUCGACGUCCGUGUUCAAGUUCACGCAUGACGUUCUGACCAAUGCGCCGGUGACGUCCCUCGGUGCCGCCGCCCUGGCGCUGCACUACGCAAACCUCACCAUGCUCAUGGAGAAGCUCGCCAUCUCACCUCACCACAUCUGCUCCGAUGAGAGGGACAACCUGUAUGGCAUGCUGAUGGACAGACAGGUUCCGAGCAUCUCUUAGAGCAUGCCUCAAGCCGUUCGAGUCCUUCCAAAGGCUGGAGCCCAGCGCAUUGAGCGGGCUGCCCACCGGGACGAGCUGCGUAUGGGCUUGCGUAUUUGCAGUUUCCCUGCUGCCUCCUCAUUGGCCUGCAUCUUUGGGUCCACCUGCACAGCCUCACAGCUAGCUCCUGGAUUAGAUCCAAUCACACGGCAACCCUUCGGUGCCUCUUUCUAGAAACAACCAUGCGUGGCGGCAGCGUAGGUUUUGACGCUAGGUCAAGCGACGGCGGCGACCACGGAGACCAUGAUGGCGGCUCGAUGGACACACCCACGGCUGCUUCCUCCGAUGCCAUACGCAAGCGCACCGUGAUGCCGCCUCCUUCAUCCACGCAUCCAUCUUGCACGCUUCAUCAUCUAGUGUCUGCUUCACAAGAGAGGCGCCAACCUACUAAGGAAGCCGUCGUCCAGGAAGAUGAUGGUGACGACUAUGGUGAUGGCUCAGGGAUGCUACGUUUUCUCUACAGCAGGUACGUAUACAUAGUAUAUGCUACUGUUGGUGUUAGUUUGUGCAUGUGAUGGGUAUCGGCCCGAUCGAUCCGAGGGUUGUAUACAUUGUAGAAAUUGUAUACGUUGUAGAAAUUUUGACAUGCUAAUCAAGAUAGAAGUAUGCCUUCUGGAUUAACUUUUCUACUUAGUAUAAAGAGAUCUAUAAUAUUUAUAUUUGGAUUAGUAUCUGGUUAUUCUUUUCUAAAAUUUAAGUUUAUUCAAUCAUCACCUGCUGGCACAAUAUUUUUCCUCUGAUAAUCCUUUAUUCUAGCCUUUAUAUAGGGUGUGUUCUCACCUAAAAAUUACUAGGUGAUUGCCCUCUGCGUUGCUGUAGGAAUUUAAAGGAUGAUUUCGAUACGCAUUGUGUAUGAACAAAAAGUAUAUACGCAGGACAAUGGCAGUUCCAAUAAUUAUCAGUCAUAUUCUUUGCACAUCUUAAAUAAUUUAAAUUUCAGUGAUAUUUAUAUGCAUCAAUAAGCAGUCCUAAUUUCAUCAGCACAACAUCCUGAACCUGCUAACAUACUGUUACGCCCUCACUAUUUAUAUUGCCUGAUGCAUAUCUAAUAUACCACACUGAUUUAGAUCUAUAUAAUCUAAACUAAAGAUGGAUGGCUGAAACGUAGUUUUCAAUAUAUUAGAAGCAUUUACAUGAUGUCAGAUGUUCGGUUUUCUAAGUUUGAUCAGUCGACGCUAGUAGAGAAAUUAUUAAUCAAAGUUUCAUCAUAAUGAGAAAAAUGUUACCUCUUGUAUUGCAAUCACAUUUUGCUAAUUUUGUUAAAUUCAAGUGUAAGUAAUAUCUUACACCACACAAUGAUAUCUUUUUGCUCUAUUGCACACAGUGAACCAUUGACGGGUGAGACAUGGAAAAUUUGUUUCCAACGCAAGGGGAAACCUGAGGACGACGAAUUUGUCGACAUUGAAGUAGACAGAGCUCAUAUCUCAUUUUAUAACCUGGUAUACUUCAAAGAACAGCUUGGGUAUGGAGCCAGGGACUUCUUAUACUACAAGAAACAUUGCAGUAGGGAUGUAGCUAAACUUCAGGCCAUCGAAUAUUUACGCCACGCAGAAGCAAUGCUACAGGACAAUGCUGCGGAGAGGGAAAUCAGGUUGGUAUUGUCAAGGGAGCUAGAACCAGAGGUAAAUAUCAGCAUAACACCAAUUAAGCAACAUGGGGGAAAGCGAAAACAUGAUCAAUCAGGUACAGAUGAAUACCUUGAUGCCUACAAGGUGUGGCUAGCAAUACUGCAAGCCAAAGAACCAGACAUAGGUAAGAUCAUUCUUUGCAUCACCGAUUCAAAUUGUUAUAACACAAUGUUGCUUUGACAAGUGCAUCUGGUUAAUCAUGACUCGCAGACUAAAGGGAUGACUUCAGGGACGAAACAAUCGAAACAUACAAGGAAUGGCUAAGGCAUACAGGCUGUCAUCGGCAUAUGCGUAAUUUAAUUGCUUUUAUGAUGUCAUCAAAUAUAUUACCAGCUCUUGUACAUUCAAUAAAAUAAUUGAUGCAUGGUGAUUUUUUUUUGCAGUGUCAUUAUUGAAAGAACAUACGGAUGAUGACCAUAUAACUGGAUGGGAGGAAAAUCAGGAAAGGAGCACGGCAAACAAAGAUAGGCCAACUCAUGCAAGAAAACCAAAACAACAAAGGAAUGGUAUGUGCUGGUCUUUCCAUUUUGCAUUAUACUCUUUUGCUGAUCAUAUAUUUUAUAUUGUUUCAUAUGUUAAUAAGGUGGACCCAAAACUUGUGGACGUGGAUGUCUCAAAGGAUAUAAAGCAGCUACAAAGAGAAUUAAGAGCAGAUCUCAGAAAUUAAAGAUCGAAUUUGAUUCCUUGCUGGGAGGCCCCUAUGGUGAGAACAGCCGCACAUUCGUGGAUGAGAUUGUAAUCUUUACCAGGAAAAAGGCUCCACUUAUAGGAGUGCAAUCGUGGAAGGAUGUGAAGGACAAUGUGAAAAUAGCAAUAGCAGAAGAAAUGAUGGUAAGUCAAUUGUUUUCUUUAGCCAAAUGUUAUGAAUUUAGUACCUCCGCUUUAAUGUUCUAUUUGUCUUUCCAUUCAAAUAGAAAAUUUGGGACUUAGAUGACAUUGAAGAUGCUACUGAAAAGAUAUGGGCAAUUGCCAAAGAGAGGUACAAAGGAUGGAGAGCUUCGUUUAGUUCGACAUACAAGGCAUAGUCCACUGACGCUCAACAAAUGAAGCAUAAGCCUGAAGAUUUAGACAACAUGGAGUGGUACUACUUGAUCCAAUAUUUUGGAAGUAAGCCAUUCCAGGUUCGUCGGUGUCCAAUUUCUUUUGUGAUUCCACUACUAAAAUAUAAUGUAAUUAACAGAGCACUGCUUGUACACCUUUUGCAGAAAAUUAGCACCAGGAACUCUGGAAUCUGACAGAAGGUGAAGACUAAGCAUCUCACAGGAUCAAAAUCAUAUUCCCAAAUUAGUUUUGAACAGGUGAUGACAACAUUAGCUAAGCUAAUUACUUUCUUAAAUGGUUGUUACCUAAUGCUAAAUUUUUGCCAUCUCAGAGAAACAAGGGUAAUGGCCAACAGCCUACUGAUUGGCAACUUUGGAUGACUACUCACACCAAGGAUGGGCAAUGGUCAAAUGAAGACUCUAGGGAUAUCUACGUGAGUGUUUGUAUAUGAUUGCACCUUUAAAAUUUUAGCAUGUUUCAAACUUAUUUUGGAACCGUUUGAAAUUACAUGCUUAUAAUUUAUUUCUCAUGUUUCACUAAGGAAAAUGCCUGCAUCCAAGUUACAGAGGCAGAAAAAGGGAAGGGUAGGCCGUUCCUUACGGUUGAGGAGGAAAACACAGUUUUCCAACUCAACUACUCUAAAACUCUUGGAAUAAAGUCAUAUAGAUGUCAUGGACGUGGAUACAUGGCGAAAUAUCCAACAAGAAAUGCUCUACUGAAACAUAGAGAAGAAGAUGCAACCCGUACAAAAGUUUUAGUUCGACAAGAAAGAAUGCAGCACCAACAAGAGGUUGAAGAAUUAAAAGAAAAGCUUGAACUUGAAGUUUCAGCAAGGGAAAGAGACAAGGAAGAAACUAAGAAACAAAUUGAAGAAAUCAGGGAAGAAUUUCGGUCAACACUACAACAACAAAUACAAUUAGCAUUGCAGCAGGUAAUAACUUUGGACCACGGUUCUCCUUUUUUGGCUCCUGUAUUUUAGCUAAUGUUCCUUGUCUUUUGGGUUGCGUAGGCUAUCCCAGGAACCAUCAACACCACACAAGUUCCAAACGGACCAAGUGUCAACAACAACUUCAUCACACCACCACGCAUAGAGGAUGCGACUAUAGAGGUAAUACAAAUACAACAAGGUUACUUACAGAAGAUGCAACAUGUUUACAAAUAAAAUGCAACUUGUUCACAUCAAAGCUUUCAUUUUGGCAGAAUAAUGAACCAGUAAGCAUGUUGACCACAGAAACGUUAGUUGAUGAAGGUACUACCAUGACAACAAAGACUAGUGCAACCAGGACUCUUUUUCAGAAAAAGAAUGGUUCCAAUGGGUCAUUGAAUUAUGUUUCUACCCAACAACUAUUGAGGACUCGUAAUCAAAAGAAAAACAGCAGGUAUGAAUACCAAUGUGAUUUGUCUUUGAAAUGGUGGGUAAUAUGCUUUGUAUGAUAUGUCAAUAGAGUUCAUCAAACUGGUGGGGAUCUUGUCAUCUCAAACGGUAUAUGAUAUUAUUGCAGAGUGUUCCUUAAUUUAGUUUAUAUCUUUACUAUGUCACUAUGAUCAUUUAGUUUGCACGUGAUUAGUUAUUCCAUGCACUUAAUCACCAAGGUUCCUAUAUUAAAUUAAUAAAUUAUAUGUGUUCAUGAAUUGCAGGAAAGCGUGGAUAGCCAAAAUAUUUAGAGAAAGCUUUAUGCCUAUAUGCUGGUGAUGGACAGCUAGAAGAAAGAAGAAUUAUAGAAAUUUUUAUUGGUGAUGGACGGUGCUGAUGGGGCAUGAAGGGAUCAAUAAGAGAACUCAUAUUUAGUUUUAUUUUAUUAUGCCAAACAUAGUUACAAACUUGUAGUUAGAGAUCAUGUUUAUUUUAGUAGUACUCUGUUCAUUGUGUUAUUACUUUGGUUGAGACAUAUAUUUGAAGUUAAUGAAGGUUUGAGUCCUUAUAUGUGAUGAUGAAAUAUAUACUUAUGGCAUAAUUAUUUUGUAACAACAAUUAAAUUUCUAGCUACAAAAUGAAAUUAAAAAGGUGCUGGCCAAAAUGCCCUCGUUGCAACAAACCACUACGCUACCACUGUUUGUUGUUGCAAUAUACAUUAUUGCCACAAACCUUAUGUGUUGCUAUAGGACAUGUCUACCACCAACAAUGAUUCGUUGCAUUUUCCAUCUAUUACCACCAACAAUGAUUCAUUGCAUUUUCCAUCUAUUACCACUAACAAUGAUUCGUUGCAUUACUUUUUAUUGCUGCCAGCAAGUGAACGUUGCAAUUGUGACUCUAGCCACCAAAUUUGUUACGUUGCAAUAUUUAUUUGAUGCAAUGGAGCAUAUUGCAUGGCAAUAUGGCCAUGUUCCCAUGUAACUCCGGGGUGACAAUAAACCUAUUUUGCGAUAAAUUUGUUCAUAGCAAUACUGUCAUAUUGCAGCCAUGUAUUUCAUUGCAACAAUAAUUCAUGCAACUAUUCUGUUGGUCGCAAUAUCCGUGCUUGCAACCAAAUCGCAGUUGUGUUAGUUUUUUUAUGUGCAUUGCAAAACCACCAUAUUGCAACACCACUCCAAAAGGAUGCAAAAACCUAUUGCACCAUUCCAAAUGCAACCACCUGUCAACGACCAUACAUAGAUGUAAUUGAUCCUUUUUACAACCAAAAUAGCCAUAUUGCAAACCAAUAUAGGCGUCAUGAUAGGGCUGGAUCCUAGUAGUGACUACUCCAAGGAAAUCAUGAAAAAUCAAAUUCAUAACCCUCUGAUAAGUAGCACCAGCAUUCUUCAAACUAAAAGUCAUAACGAUCCACUCAAACAAACCAACAAAUCCUGGACACACAAAGGCUGUUUUGGAUAUAUCCUCUUCGGCCAUAAAGAUCUGAUUAUACCCAGCGUUACCAUCAAGAAAGCUAAUCAUUCUAUGUCUAGAUGCAACAUUAAUAAGUACAUCGGCUAUAGGCAUAGGAUAUUCAUCUUUUGGUGAAGCUCUAUUAAGAUCUCUAAAAUCAAUGCAUACUUAGAGCUUACCCGUGCCCUUCUUCUCAAUAGGCACAAUAUUAGAAACCCAAUCAGCAUAUCGACAAUCCCUAAUAAACUUACAAUCAAACAACCAAUUGAUUUCUUCUUUCCCUCGGUCAUAAAUAAUAGGGUUAAAGCACCUAGCAGGUUGUUUAUGAGGCCUAAAACCAGGCUUAAUGGGCAGCCGAUGCUCAACCAGCUCACGGCUUAAACCAGGCAUUUUAGUGUAAUUCCAUGCAAAACAGUCGACAUACUCUUUUAAUAACUUUAUUAAAUCGUCCUUGAAAAUAGGCUCAAGAUUUUUGUUUACAAACAUCAGCCUUGGUACAAUACCAACACCAAUAUCCACCUCCUCUAAAGGAUUGGCCAGCAUGAACCCUCAUCCUAAUUUACUCAUAUCAUCAAGGUCCUCAAUGGCCUCACACAUAUCAUUCUUCCGCGCCCGAUAGUGUUCUAGCCUCUGCUACAACCACUCUAGAUUUACAUCCAUUACAUCAUAUGUGGUAAGUUAGCCGAUCCUCAGUCGGUUUUAAUACAGCAGCAACAAAACCAUCCUUUGUGCAACUAAUGUACCCGGUAUCAGAAUGAUCUACACAAGACAAGCAGUUGACAUUAUCGUGCACACCUAUGGUGGAACUAUCAGCCAUAGCAACACAAGCCGGCGUAUCACCAUGCACAAUCUCCACUUCGUCGCUGAUCCAUUGGAUUAAGAAUUAAUGCAAGGUAGAUGGGACACAUUGAUUUGCAUGAAUCCAAUCAUGACCCAAAAUUAAACUGAAAUUACCUUGGGUCUGGGCGAAAAAUAAAGCGGUAGCCAACGUCUUGCUCCCAACAGUGAGCUCCAUAGAGACAACGCCUUUAGUUCCCAUAUACUUGCCUCCUCCCACACUGCUAACAGUCAUGUUGGUCUUGACCAACUUCUCAUCUGAACCUCCCAAUUUCUUGAACAAGGAAUAGGGCAUUAAGUUGACAAUUGCCCCUCCAUCAACUAACAUCCGAGAAACUGGCUUCCCAUUGAUAUGUUCUUUCAUAUAUAGUGCUUUCAGAUGACUUUUAAUAGCUUUAGGCUUCUAGAACAUAGCUUCCUUAGGCCCAAAGUCAAGGUGAGCCAAAUCAUCUUCCAAGAUCUCAUGGAAUGCCGAGACAGCUAGCUUUUUGCCUUCUCGAGUUUGGCCUCAAGGCACGCUGCCUUUAGAUGAUACUCCUUGGCACGGAGGACCACGUCUACCCUCUUGAGAGCACACUCAACCAUACCCUGUCCACACCCCUGUCAAUAAGAGUUCAGCACAGUAAUCGCAUUUCAAGUAUACAUCCUAUGAAUCGGUCGGCAAACUUACGGUUAACAGAUGACAAAAGUCGGAGGCCACUUGCUGCAACUUGGCCCAAUCCUUCUUGUCCUGGGCUGCAUCCCUAGCAAGGGCAGCCGCAGAGAUGUUGAAGGAGUCAAGGUCAUCUCCUCCGCUCAAGGGGGGAAAAUCGGGCAAUGGAUCAUCCAUGAGCGCUCUAGCUUGCUAAAGAUUGGCCUCAGCGUCCUCCUCAUCCUCAACCUCGACAUCCUCCUAGGCCUUCCCCUCGACCUCAACGACCUCCUCCUCCACCUCCUCUGGGACCUCAGGGUCAGUCAUGCCAUCGUCGGCAGCCUUAGCACUAACCUCAACCAGUUGAAGCACAGGAUUCGGCACAACCUCUUGGGUCUGACCACCAUCGCUAGUUCCGACCUCUAUGGCCGCUGGCUGCUCGAUGGUGUGACCGUUAGUGGCCUCAGUCUGGCCCGAGCACUUCGUCAACUGUGCAGAGCUAUUCAGACCGCAUGCCAGUUCUGUACGGUCAUCACAAACAAGCAAUUUACACAAUAUCAGACCGCAAUCUUCAACAUAAAAAGCAUAAAGGCAGCAACACUUACAAAGUGCUCUUCUUCAUCAAGCGCAGCUGAGGAGGUGGAACGGUUACACCUUCCUUGGACUACCGCGCAUCUUCACCUUCAACACCUCCUUGAGGUGUGCCGCACAGCAGCAGUGGUCUUCGUAGGUUCCGACCCGUUGUCCUUAGCAGCCAGGGUCGGCGCAUCAGACCAGGUCGGCCAACGUUACUCAGCAAGGUUUUCUCCUUCUUCUUGCUAGCCAGCUUCUUCCUCUUCCCACUCGGCCGGGGCACCUUAGAAAGGGGCCGUUUUGCCAUAGCCUGCCGGGUCUGCCGACUAGCACCCUGACUCUCAUCGGCUGCGCUCCCAAGGCGGAAAAAUCUUGGGCAGCGCCGCUUGUGCCUCGCCUGGUAGUGGGGGCAGACAAAAGUAGACAAAAGCAUCGUCCUAAUCAAGUCAAUACCUCAAGUCAGAAACAUCACAAGUAAACAAAUGUGCACGAAAACAAAGUUGAAUCCAACCCUACAGGGGUGGGUGACGGCCUCUUCAGCGAGAAUGCCUUGGGGACGUCCCUAUUGUUGAUAAGUCCCCUAAAGAAAUCGCACGCCCGUGCAAUGACCUCCUCAUUGGGCACCUUGGCAGGGACUUGCUGAGUCGGAUCAUCUAAUCCUGGUAUUUGAUUAGCUACGUUGCCCUCUGACAGAAAUUGAUUCCAAUGGCCAUGGGUGUUAGCCCCCGUGCCUUCAGGUCGACGAUCUUCGCCAACAGCCCAUCAACCUAGACCUGUUCCUCCAUAGUCGGCAGAUUUUGCCACUCGGGCACUGACAUUGGCCAAAACCCGUACGCGGCGGCAACUCGGGCUUCUGAUUAACAAUAAUAAAUCACUCGGCAUGCCAUCCCUUGUGGGAAUCCUUCAGCUGAAGGUCAAAAUACUCGUGCACUCUCUUAGGGCGCAACGAGAAUCCAGCACCCCGUAUAACCCGAUCUUUCCUACCCUUGGUAUUUACGGGCUUCAAUUGGUAAAGGUAGCACCAUAUAUUGAAGUGUGGGGGUGUGCCUAAGUAUGCUUCGCACAGAUGAAUGAGAUAGAAAUAUCUAGGAUUGAGUUAGGGUUAAGAUGUACCAACUCAAUCUUGUAGUAAUGGAGGAGGCCUCGGAAGAAAUCCCCAGUGGGGAUCCCAAAUCCGCGCUCGAAGAACAGCACGAAGACCACCACCUCCCCCGUGUCCUCCGACGAGAAGUCCUGACCGGUGGUGGGCUUCCAGUCGAGCAGCUCCUGCGGAUCAAGGAGCCCAUGGUCGUUGAGGGCCUGGAUCUGCUCCUGCAUCAUCACGCUCUUCAUCCACACCAAGGAAGAAGAUGGAGCAUUGGGCUGCGCCAUUGCUUUGUGACUUUGUAGUUUGGAUCUAAAGAGCACAAGGGUUUUGUUGCACAUAAAGUAGCGCAGCGGCUCGGGCGGCGGUGGCGGCGGCGUGUGCACGAGAGGACUACGGAAUGUGGCCGCGCAACCUAGGGUUUGCCAACACAGCGGCGGAGUGCUCGGUGAGCUCAAGGUGGCAGUACCGUGAAAGGUUGAAGACAAGAGUGACAACGGUUCUGCGCUCCCCGCGCGUUUAAAGGAGAUGACAGCGUGAGUUAUAGACGGAAAUUGCAGUCCUUCCGUUAACACUACGCAGCGUGCUGGGCGCUUAAUUCUACUCGGCGCGCCUCUGUGGCCCUGCCAGUCCUCACCCUCGAGGGUUGGGUGCCUAAUUCUACUUGGCGCACCUCCGCGGCCCUGCCAGUCCUCAGCCUCGGGGGCUGGGUGCCUAAUUUUACUCGACGCACCUCCGCGGCUCUGCCAGUCCUCAUCCUCAGGGGCUGGGUGCCUAAAUCUAUUGGGAGCGCCUCCGCGGCUCUGCCAGUCAUCACCUUCGGGUGCUGGGCGCCUAAUUCUACUCGGCGUGCCUCUGUGGCUCCACUAGUCCUCGCCCUAGGAGGCUGAGCAACUGAUUUUUCCUAGCUAAGCCUCUGCGGCACAGCCAGUUUUUCCAACUAUAGGGAUCAAUAUUCCACUUUCAAGAAAGCAUGCCUCUACGGCCACAUAAAACACCAAGAACAGACACAAAAACAUGCCCUCAAUCAGUUAAAAUCUAAUUCUCGACGUUACAUAUUACAGAAGACUAUGAACAACUCUAGGAUAGGCGACAUCCCAGGAUAGGAAGCUACAACGCAGAAAAGAGAAAAGCACAUUACAAGAAAGCUGCGCUCCAAACUUCAUUGCUAGUGCCCUGGAUAAAGUUGGGAGGGUUCACGAUACAGCCUCCUCAUGAGGAUUCUUCUAGCAUUGUUACCUCCCAACUCGAUCGCGGAAACUGCGAAGGGAAGGAGCACCUGGGUGUUCUUCACAAGAAUUCUUCUAGCAUUAGGCUUAUUGGUGGACGCCAGCCCUAUCAAAAACUACAAGCUUCAAACCUACAAGCACUAUAACUCGAGCCAUGACUCUGCAAGAUGAAGAGUUGGUCUAUUUAUAGCCAGGCUGCUGGCUACCUUCCAAAAUUCUAUAGGGAACCCAUGAAGAUGCAAGACAAAGCCCUUCUCUACCAUUGUGACUCCACAGUACUCACGUGGUAGCCAGCCUUAUCUUCAAGUGCUGAUGAAACAAUAUCCCCGUGCAGCUGCUCUGAUGAAGCAGCACCCCUGUGAACAAGGACUUUUUGUCACCUACCUAUCAUUGCUUCAAACCUUAUCUCCAGAGAUUUGGUCACACAUUUUUCUUUUGGUUGGCAGGCUUCUGUGGCUGUGCCUAUCUCUGUGCUCGGGCAUUGAUAACUGCUCCGAAGAGACAAACUUCUUUGACCAUUGGACCGAUUAUCCUAAUCACUUCAAUGCUCGGGGGCUACACCUACGGAGUGCGUCUUAUGACACCCUCCACACCCGUCACUCCGAUCUACUAGACGUCAGCAUCCAUCAACUCGGUGCUCGUCUUCGGUCUGCAUGUUGGCCCUGCGUUUGCUCAGAUUUUCCUCUUCAUUGAGCACAGCGCAGCCUCUCCGUCACCAUGACAUCAUCGCAGCUUCAACCAACCUAGAUUCAAGCUUCGCUGUGAUGACCUCAACUUCUUGUUCGCCUACACAUUGCUCGAGGGCUUGAGGGAUAUGGGUACCCCAUGGGUCCCCAUCAACCUGGAUACUGACCGGACCUAACGAGUGGGUCUGCUCGACUAGGACGUGCGGGCCAAAGAUAUUAAGUUUUUUGGAGUACACGACAAGGCAACAAGACCGUCCAAAUCUACCCGGACAUCAUGGGUUGCAUUUUAUAGUCCGACUUAGAUUGCUUUCCAUGUAAAGAAUGAGUAUAUUGAUUCAAACCAACUUGUAACUCUUUGUUGUUAGACUAUAUAAGGCGGCCAAGGGCACCCCCUAAGGGAAAUAGAUCAUCAUAUUAAUCUUGAGAAAUACAACCCACCGAAAUAUAGGAUGUAGGGUAUUACUCUCGAGAGGCUCGAACCUGUCUAAAUUCCCAGUGUCCCUUCGUGUUCUCAUGAUCACCUUCAGGUUCUUGGUUUCUCAAUCAACCUCACCUACAAAUCAACCACCUGGGUAACCCCCUGGUGGACUCCCGAGCUUAUAAAUCCAACAAAGGGUAUAUGACUAACAUACGAGCAUAUAAGCCAUAUAAACAUAGCAAGGAUCCUAGACUACCCAUGCAUAUAAGAACCAAGUAUAACACUAUAAGAAGGAACCACGAAUACUAACUUACUAUACUCUGAAGGAAGCCAGCAUCCGUAGAGGUACAAGCCAGGAGGAGAGUGCUGACAACCCGACACUCCUCCCGAACUACCCCUUACUCUCUCCUAAUUCUAAGCACUAGCUAGCCAGCACCCCGCCUUUGCAAUGAGGCUCCAAAUCUACUCUUGAGUAGUGUUUCUCCAAGUGGUGGUGUUGUGUGUCCUCAAAUGAGGCCCACGUCUACUAUUUAUAGAGUGGAGGUGCCUUGGGAGAGUAGAGAUACUCCAAGCAUCUCAAGGGGAUCUCAAGGAAAUAUUCUCCUCCAACUCUUCUCCUUGUGCCACCUAGCAGGAUUCAAGGCUUUGAGGCAGUAACUCUUGACGAAACGGUCAUAACCGCCUUUAGGAAGUCACCAGGAGUCGACACGUGGAAGAUGGGCUCAAGGGGUGCUAGGGCCAGUUCAGCUGAACCUAGGGCACCAACUCUCACGCAGCCCUUUGUCUGGGACACUGCCUGGUGGGCCCUCAAGUCGAUGCAGGGUGCACACGCCAAAUUAAGGCAGUUUACCCCCUGAUGUAGGCCCAUGGAUCCGUGUGCUUUUUCCUAAUUAGCUGGAGUUGUGUUUCUGUGCCUCUUGGGUGUGUUUCCUCCUCCUUUCUAAUGAUAAGUUACCUGCAUACAAAUAUUCACCAACACUUGUGGAAAUGGUUAGUAAUAAACCCCUACCACUAGGUUGAUGUUAAUCUUUCCGGUAUUUAUGCAGGAGUUGAUGGCCUAGAAUUGGUACUCAAGAGCUGUCAACAACACCCCCACACAUAGCCUUUGCUCAUCCUCGAGUGAAGGGCAAAGUCUAACAUGGAACAUAACUUCUUAUGGUAAGGAGCAAACAUAUAAGAUAUUCCAAACCAUACCUAUACUUGUGAACUUUUUGAAGUGUCUAUCAUGUUACCUUGGGUGGUUGAUUGCUAAAACGGUCUUGACUCAAAUCCCCUCCACUCUUUCUAUCUCAGUAACUUCGGUUUUUGACAAUUGUUUUUCAAAAGAAAACCUUACCUAGCUCCUCACAUGAUUUUCGCAGAUCCCACCUCAUGUUAACUCUUCACAUCUGCGAUCAGCAAUACAAUCCACUAGAACACAAAACAUAGGGUAUUACUCUCCGAAGGCCCGAACUUGUCUAAACCCUAUGCCCCUAUGUUACCAUUCGAGUUUUUGGUCUCACAAUCUCACCGUCCUACAAAUGGACCACCUGGGUAACCCCCUGGUUGACUGCUGGUCACUAAAUUCGACAAUUGACGUGCCAGGUAGGGGUGAUCGUGAGAUCCUCCCCAGCAAGCUCGAUGGCAUCCCGUCCCAACGUCAUCUUCCCCAAGAGCAUGAAGGACUUCCUUGCCAAUCCGAUCUAGCUCUGCUUCAGGAGCAUUCUCGUAGACUUCGACUCCAUCGCCUCCUUCGCCGAUUCGGUGUCCGCUCCCAGCUCAGCAUCUCUCGGAUCUGCAUCAUGCCGCUUGCCCAGCAGGUUGGCGAUCUCUCCAUCUCUCUCAGAGAGGGUCCCACACAUCCUUGCGGCAACCUAUAACACCUUGUGUUAAUGCUGACUUUUGGAGCAAAAGAAGGGUAAUUGACUCAAAGUUAAAUUCGAGCUGAAUUUGACCGAAAUUGCAAUUUGGAAUUUUAAAUUCGGAUAAAUUUAGCAAAAAUAUGAAGUUGAGGCUUGAAGGUGGUUAGAACUCAAAGGGAUGAAGUUGGAGACUAAUCCUAGUCUUAAACUCCUCAAGAAUGCAACUGAAAAAGGAAAUCAACCAAGUUACUAUUCCCCAUCCGAAAAUAUGCAGUUCUGAAAAUCAUAAUGAGUACCCAACUUUGGAAUUAGGUUCUGUCUAAUUCUUCAUUUAAAGGGGCAAAGGUUUCUGAACCUUAGUGAAAUAUGGCCCUUAGACAAGUUUAGUGGAAUGUUGUUGGCCAGAGAAAGUGGAGGAAUCAAAUUUAAAAUGGGACUCAAAAUUGGCAAUCAAGCAGUUUUCAGCCUAGCUAUUGAAAUGAAUUUUUCCCAAGUCUGAAACAGUAGUGGAUGACCAUGUUUGGAGCAAGUUUUAGGGAAAUAUAGUGCAAAAGGUAUAUGAGUUCAUGUGCAAAAUGGAAUCCUUGUUAGUUGUAGAGCACGAAUGGAUGAGGGUUGAACUAUGUGGAGUAAGUUUGAGCUAUUCAAAUCGAGUUAAAAGAAGGGCAAAUAGCCCUGUACAGUGACCUGUCGAAUUGAAUCAAAGUGAUUCAGAACAAUCCAGUCUGCCCGAAAUUGAGAUUUAAAAAUUUUGGUCCUAGAGUGUUUAUCUCGGGUAGAGACCAAUAUAUCAAUUGAAGUACUCGAGUUCCUCUACAAGUUUGUUUAAAAGACUUUCGGACCGUAGGAUUUGAAAUCAACCAUUUUUGGAGGUCUAAGUUUUGGAGUAUAGGAAAGGGGGGGGGGGGAAGCGAGCAGAAGCAGAGACGUGUCGCCGCCGGCACUUUCACCCGUCGUCCAGCACGAUGUAUAGGGCCACAUCCGUACCCACACAAGCCUACAAGCUAGGCCACGGUGGCACUCAUGCACGUGGUGAAAAGUUUGGAUAUCUACUGCUCCCGCCAUCGCUCUUAUCGGUUUACUGCGUUGCCUAGUUUUACCAUCGCGAGCAGAGCACGGCCGAGCUCCUGCCGCCGUGCGAUUCCUACCGUUCCACUGCCUCGCACCUCAAUUCCUCCCACCCAAAUCCCCACCAACACCUCGCCAAGAACUGUGCCUACCCACUUUCCAAUUUCCCCGCCGGCAAGCUCUUAGCCGCCGCCGUUUCCGUCCGCCGCCGCCAACCUCCUACUCACGGUGAGCUUUCCUUUACCGCCAUCUUCUCUCCAUGUGGUAAGUCCUGGGUAAGUCUGUGGGUCGAUAGGGAGCCUUAGGAGGAGUCAAGGGCUUUGUUGGUGCCGUUGCCGUGCUUGGCCACGGCCGGCCGCCGGCCAAGCCGCCCGCCGCCGUGGAGAGGCUAGCUCCGGCCAUCUCCCAGGGGGCCGCCGCCGCCCACGGGUGCGCCGUGGCCUGGGGGUGCCUCCCCGGCCUGGCCCCGUCGCCAGCAGGGCACCAGCCGUUGAGCCGCGCCGCCCCUGUCGUGCCCUGCUUUUGGCACGGGGGAGAAGAAAGACCUGGCGCUAGGGGCCCACGUGCCAGGGAAAGAGGAGAGGGGAAGAAUGGGCUGGCGGGUAGAAUAGGAAGGGGAGGUAGGGUCAGGCUAAGGGGCCCAGCACGUGAGAGAGGGGGUAGAGAGGAGUGGAGUAAGAAAAGUUGGGCCGGGGGUUUUUGAAUAAUUUUAGGUUUUUCCUUUUGUAGAUAUAUAGUGUAAAUUCGGUUUUCACCAUUUAAAUCAUAGGAAGUUCUAGAAGUGUCCAAAAAUAGUGAAACUAACUUUAUUAGGAUUGUUUUAUUUUCCUUUAUGCAUUAAAUUUUUUAAAUCUUAGGAAAAAUAAUAAAAUUUAGGUAUUUAUUUAAUGCCUUUAAUUAAGGUAUUUAAAUAAAUGCUUAACCUUUAUUAAAUGCAUAAAAUUUUGAAUAAUGCUUUCUUACUCACAAAUUCUUAUUAAUCUAUAGGAAUUAAGUUUUGAGAUUAGAAAAUAAUUAUAAUGCUUUCUAAAAAUAAAAGAAAAGGCCUAAGAUAGGAUUAGCAAAAAGAUUAAAAGUGAUGGGUUAACCUUUGUGGGUAGUUAGUGUUGGCUUUUAACUUUAUCAUGAUGAUAGGUUGUAUAGUCACUUGUUGGCUUGCAACUUUAUCAUGAAGGAAAGUUGUAUAGUCUUGUGUUAAAAAAUUUGUAUCUCUAACCCCUGCAUGUACUAAAUCGUAGACAUUGAAGCUCCAGAAGGGGAAUUCUUGGAUUUAUCUGCAGGACCUUCGGAGUUUGAAGAAAUUGUUGAGUUGAUCCCUUGUGAAGCUGGUCCGUCGGACAACGCUAACCUUUUUACAAAUCAAGGCAAGCCCCGGUGCAUCUAUACCUAUCUACUUUGGAGUUAUUAUUUUAUGUGUCCAAUUAUUGGUUAUUUUCCAUAUGAAUGCAUUAAGUCUAGGAGUUGAUUGAAACCUAUUCUUGUGCAUGAUCCUACCUUGUUUAGAGGACAUCUUUGCCACUUGUUCACUAAUUAGUAACUAUCCUAUGCUUAGCAAUGCUUAGAUACUUCAAGCAACUUGGUUACUUAGCUCUAAGGUAAAUUUUGGGUCAUACAUGUUAGUUGAGGAAAAUUAGCUUAGAAAUUUGAAAUGCCGACAGAAGCUAGAGAUGGUAGUUCUAUCUGCUAAGUUAAAUUGGUUAAGGCCCGAUCAUUGUCUUAACCUUUGAUCAAGUGAGUUUCAUCGGGUUGCUUACUGGGUAUGGGACCAGUAAAGCCCGAUAGGUAUCUGACUCUCUGAUCGAGAAUAUCCCGUACCCGUGCUUGACGUGCUGGAGAAUGGCACGGGCGUAGCCUGAAACUCACAUGGAGAUCAGGCCAGACGUGGGGUCCCAUGUGGGGGUGCGUCCCUGGGUUCGGGUAGUCAUAUUCCCAAUCUUUGGGUACGCUAAUCGAAAGGUCGUCAUGUACAACCUGGACAGUUGUACAUAACUGGUGGUCAGGGUGCUCUCUUGCAGGAUGUAAAUUGAUUCGGAUCGCCGCAAUUCUCGGUUAUGAAUGUACUUGAUCACCGUUAAGCAUCAUAGUGUAAUCUAGUGAAAUGCAAUGUUUUUUCGAAAUUAAUAUGUUGUAUGACUUAAUUCCUACUGUCUGCAAAAAUAUUUCUUUUUCGCCAUCUAGACUGGUUAGGUAACAAACUCAAUCUGAAAUAAAAGAUAAAACUAAGGUUUCACUUGUAGUAAGCUCUUUCAGCAAAAAUGUGAGUCAGCCAGUACACUAAACAGUUAUCAUUCAGUUUCGGAAAAACUACUAUAUUGGUUAGUCUGGUUAGUCUUGCUGAGUACCCCGUACUCAGGGGAUUCCUUUGUUGCUAUUUCAGAGCCACAGCAGGAGUCCGUCGAGGAAGAAGCCCCGAAAAAUUAGGGUAUUUUUACGAGUCUCAUAAUACCCUAGAAAUAGAACUCAGAUGUUUACCUUUCACAUGGACUUGUUUAUGUUUUAAACUCUUAGAACUGCUCUGACCUACAUUAUUAAGUUUGUUUCAAACUACGGUCUGUAAUAAUUCGCACCUCGGUAUGUAUGUAAAAAUGUAAUAUUUGUUGAUACCUUCUCAUUGUGGAAGCGAUCCUGAUGUAUGGCUAUGGGACACGUCAUGGAUGUUUCGAGGAGUCCUAGGGACACUCGAUGGACUCCCAAGAGGUGUCUCCAAUGUCACCACCAUGUCUACUCAAGAUGACACUAGUGGUUUGCAGGUACUCGAGCCAGCGACAGAAGCUAAAAGGCGGCUGCAUUGGCUGCUCAAGACAGAUCGCCGAUCACUAAGGAUAUGAUCAAUGGUGAAGAUGAUCCAGAGCCUAUUGUUGGUGAUGCCAACUCCUUUGGAUGUUUGGUGAACCCUACUAGCACAGAAGCAACAUCAUCAGCGCGGACGGCAACUAAAGCUGGCUAGGAUCACUCUGCCACCUUGUAGGCCCUGCCAAAGGCACCAUCUCUAACUAUUAAGCCGCUAUGCCUAAUGGGUGAACCCAAGUUGAAACUGAGGAAAUCUUCAAGGUAUCCUCCAUUGUUCCACCAAGUACUUAUUGUAACCCAUAGAUAUGUUGUUGUAAUAGGAAUUUUGUGCCCACCUGCAGGAAAUCCUCGUACAUAAUCUUGUCCUCCGAUCCUGUGACUGAUGGUAGUAGCCACUUAACCCAAGAUGUCAUCCCGACCUAGGCAGUCCUUCCGCCAUAGCAGCAAACUAUGGAGAAGCUGUCUACUCCAAGGGCUCCAUCCACUGUAGUAGCCCUAAUGCAUGAAGUCUUGACAUCCUCAACAAAUGUGGUGCCGCUAGCCCCCGAGCAACAAAAACCUGAGAUGGUGGCGACUGCUUCUGGUGCCGUGGCUACAUCCGUAGCCCCCAAGCCAAAGGUAGAAAUUGACGCGAUCACGGCUCUAGAGACCAUGGCCGCCGACGCGUCUUCCGGGCCGGGUCUAGCAGAAAAUCUUUCUAUGGUUCCGCAGGACGGAGUUGAUUAUGAAGCUCGUGCGGAUCCAUUGUCGGCCUAGAGGAUUUGUCUUGAAGAAGUCAAGUUGAUUGACGACCCUCUGCUGGAUGUGGACGUGGUGACUGGGUGUGACGACCGACCCCAAAUCUCAUGAGUUAAUCUUAAUCCGAGUCCCCCCAUCCCCUACCUCAGCUCUCCAAGUUGAAGUGCUCAACCCCUAGUCCGGUCCCGACCCCUGAGAUCCGACCCUCUCAGCUGGUUCCCCAGUCCCGACCCCGCCGACCCCAACUCAACCGCCGGAUCCUUCUAAGUCUUCCCACAACGCCUCCCUUCAAUCUGAGCAGUGGACCAACCGAGACUGACCGGUGGGCCCACAAAAUCUUUCUCCCAGAUCUCCCGCGACAGACGCACUCAAGUAGCAUGCCCGUCUCAGAGCUUCUCCGCUGUGUGGCUCAACUUCUCCGACACCCGCCCCUCCGCCUCGUCGUCGGCCACGACCGGAUGGAUUCUCGCGCCCCCUUCCCCAAUCAGAGCGCAAGCUCCUCUGCUACCCUUUCUGCAGUACCUCGCAGCCCGCGCCCAUCAUCACCCCGCCGGACCCCCGGCUGCGGAGCCCGAUGCCUUCCGCCUUUUCCGCCGCCCCUCCACAGUCGCGCCGCCCGGACUGCGCUAUGCGACGAUUCCUCCUCCGCCAACCCAGACCACGGCCGCGACAGCUCCUUUCCCACCUUGUCAGAGAUGCACCUGACAGUCUGUUGCUUCGCGCUCGCCCGCACGACCGCAGCCCGCCUGUCUUCUCACCUGUGCGCCCUCGCUUCUAGCGCCAUUCCCCCGGUCACUUCCAUCAGAUCCACCGCACGAUGACGCCCGCCUCCGGCAAAUCUUAACCACCGGCAAAACCGCGCCUGCGCCGCCCCGUCUCUGGUGCCCAAUGGCCGACGGUGUCAUCCCCGAAGACCUGCUCCGCCGCACCGCUGUUCAAUCUCCGCCCCGGCAGAGCACUCGAUCACUUCUUUCCGGUCUUCGCGGCGCUCCAACCUUCUCUCUCUUCCGCGCAGCUAUAAAAGGGAAUGCCAGAGCUCCACCGGAGUCCCCUUCGCCAUCGCUACCCUUCCGCCUUGCUCUCUGUUUCGUGCUCAAGCACUACAGCCUAAGUCCCUGAGGAACUCUCCUCUCCGUGCCACGCCCGCCCUUCCAAUCCGCCCAGCUACUUGCUCCUCCGUGCUGCGCGAGAGCUUGCUUGUAGUCCACAAGAAGCCCCGCCGCCACCGGAGCACCGCCGGACAUCAUCACCUGCCCAAGCCUUAGUGCUCCAGUUCCUCCGCCCAAGUCUGCUCUUUUCCGACCCCAAGCUUCACCUGUAAGACGAAGGUAAGCUGCCGACCCUUUUUCCGCCUCGUCCGACCCCUUCUAUCCGCCUGACCCCUAUUCCGCCUCGCCCGACCCUGCCUGUUUCGCCGACCCUUUCUCCGCCUCGCCCGAGGGCUCGGCUGUAUCUUUUUCCUUAACCCGAGGGUAUAUGUGUAAAAACGGGGACUUCUCGGCGUUAAGUCUGAGGAUCCCUAGCACAUCUCUUCCUCUAGUCUAAGGGUCAGAUCAUAAGCUUCUUCCCAUCCGACCCUUUGCCUUGUCCUUCUCCAACUCAAGUGAACUUCCCCACUUUUUCCGUAACUUUGCUACAAAGUUUCUGAGCUAGAACUUGCAAGUGUUUCUGUUGAAAUAACCGUCUAAAUGCUGACCCCUGCAUUGCAUUUCGUGUAGAGCUGCAUCUCGCCGAUGGCUUCUACGAGUUGCACCCGGCGCCAGAGGACGAAGUUGCGGCAGAGCUCCCGCUUCCAGAAGCCGAAGCCGCCCCCGCAUAAGACCCCUUCCCUUCCUCCUCGUUUGAAGGCAAGCCUCGGAGCAUGAACCCAGUUUUCCCAAACUUGCGCAUGCCUUCUGCUUCUUGUUUGUGCAUUUAUGUAUAGGAGUUGUUUGAAACCGUAGAUUGCAUAACUUAGUUCCCUGAUCUGAACACGAGCUGUUGGGCCGAGUAGUUGCCAUGCUUAAAUAGGAAGCGGUAAAAGCUGAGUGAUUUCCUGUCACUCGCGAGUUUGUAGGAGUUGGUUGUUCUUCUUCUGUUGCAACUUUAAGGACGAUGGACGGGGCAGGGUUUUGGUUAACUCUUUGGUGGUCGGCUGAUCGCCCCGUCUGUCUAUGAAACUUGUUAAGGCCCGACAGUGGUGGUGUUCAUUAUCAAGUGUUUGAAAGUACUAACCUCAUACUUAUUAUGGGAUGAGGAAGCCGAGUACCGGAUUGAACCUAGACGUGAGCGGUCGCCCCAUUGUCCUUGGAACGGAGUUCCCCUGCGGCCGCACGUGGUGGCAAGCGUGGUCACAGAACGGCAGAGGCCAGGUCUGUGGAACCUUGCACCAAAGGAAAUAGGCCCGACACGGGUUGGGGAAUUGAUGGGGAAGGCCGACACAGGAAGCGACCCUCGGUGGUUCGCGGAUGUCGUGAGGUUAGGUUCACCAUGCAUGGUUAAAGAACUCGAAUCGAUUCGCCUGCCUCUCACAGUUUGAGACUGCUUGAUCGCUAUGCUACACUGAGUAAUAAAGGAAUCUAAUGAUGACAUGGUCUUGAUGAUGAUAUAUAUACCUUUUGGUUGGUUCUAUGUUUGCUUAGAGUAAGUUGCUAACCUAGACCGGAUAAUGAACUUAGAACCUGAGCUAAAACCUUGAAAAUAGGGAUCUACGUAGUGCUUUUGGCAAACAAACCCCUCAGCCAGAGAGCCUUGCUUGUCUAGAAGUGGCGGAGUAGCGUCCUCCCGGUCGGUUAAGUCUUGUUGAGCUUAGUAGCUCAGCCUUGUUGUGGCUUUUCUUUUUCAGGUGAAGUUGCUGCUCCCGAGCCUUCUUCUGUUGGCACUUGGCUGCCCCAACUCCCUCCGGGUUGGACGGUCGAGUGGGAUCCCUCCUCGGAUGGCGAGGAGAGGGAUCACUGACGUCUUGGCUGGCCUCACCAAGGACGUCCGACCCCUGCGUUUAGCUUCCGCUGUUUACCUUCUGUUGCUUUCUUUUUAACCUUGUAAAACUCUGAUGUGGUUUUGUUAUUGAACUAAAUGGUCAAUUUGUUUAACACAGUAGGCUUGUUGUAUUCUCUGGAACUGUUCACCUUCGUGUGGACUUUGCUAAACUCGGUCCUGUUCAAGUGGUUAAAUUGGAUGAAAUCCGAUAGCAUCUCGAGUUAUCCUGAUUAAGGCCGGGUGUCACGUGUUAGGCGACUUAAUCGUGCCUCGAUUGGGCUAAUCCGAGGUGGAUCCGCCACAGAAAUCCUCGGUGAUGAAGUCCGGAUCUUCCUCUAAAGCAACAAAACAAGGGUGAGUACAAAAGUACUCAACAAAUCCAACCCCAUCCAUGGAGGAGGAUACAAUCAAGAAUAUGCACAGGAUAUAUCAAUGAUAAGGCUAAAGCUUAUUUGCAAUAAAGCUAGAUUUUCAACACAUGCAAGGGUUCCUUUUUUGUAAUUAGAGUUUUCGCAAAGUAUUUCUUUUGUAACUGAAUCAUUAAGUGGGGUUGAUCCUACACAAAGGAUCCAAGUUUUAAUAUCCAUCUCCCAAACACUGGUCAUGUGACCAAGUCAUAACUCAUCCAAUGCUGUGAACAUGGCUGCCCGAAUAGGUUUUAACUCUACAGAGGUUGUACACUUUACCCACAAGUAGGGUACCGCAGCAUGAUCACCUUAGUGUUGGUGCAGAUCCUAUCAAAGCCAUUACCCACCUUAGCUAAGUCUAACUAGCCAACACGGAAGCAACCAAGGGGUUAAUGACCUACCAACGAGGUCUUAACCGGGACAUAAGUCACAAAGAUUGAACUCCUUCUCCACGGUCUCCCAUUGCUCACCAGCUCUCCCGAUGGCUAACAGACUAGCUAGUGGGAUUUAUGCUAAGCCGUCACCGCAUACAACGGUUGAGUGGUUGCACGAUAAUUGGGUUAGGCAAGAUGGAUAUCUCCCAACCUUGCUCAACCACAAGGGUACGAGCCCAACAUAUUGGUAUUUCACACAAGAAAAACCCAUCCAUCUCAUCUAAGCAUUUCCUUCCUUUAUUUUUGAAAACCCAUUUUUCUCAUUUGAAAACACUCACACAUUUAUUCUUUAACAAAGCACAUUGUAGUCAUGAUUGAAUUGAGUAAUAAGGUCCUAAGCAUUCUAGCAAUAAUUAUCAUCCAAACAGAGCAAAUCAUAUUUAGAGAUAAUUAUAGGACAAUUAAUGAAUAAUCAUAACAAUCAAGGGGUGGCUAUCCAACCAUGUUUCAACGGUAAAAAAAUAUGAAAUUUUAUAAAAUAGGCCAAUAGCCUGUGUUUGAAAAACUGGGUUAAAUAUGCAUCAAACGGUGAGAUUGGACUUGCCGUCUUCAAAGUCGCCUGGGAGUUCUUGCUCGUGGUGCUGGUCUUCGACCUCUGGCUCGCGGUACUGGUCGUCAAGCUCCUCUUCAGGCUCCUCCUCGGGCACUCUACAAUCUACGGCACACAUAAUUGGGUAUACAAUAAAUAAAAGAAAAAUAAAGCUUUACCCGUUGAGCUCAAAUAGAGAACGCGAACGAAAAUUAGAAGGAAUGAGUAUUUUCAUGGAAUUUGGGGAUGACUUGGUUAAAAUAUAGUGGAGGAUGAUGUGGUCGAAUUUGGGAUCAAUCGGAGGAAGUUUGGCGCAUGAAAUGACGAGGCAAAGGUGUGUUUAGGGUUAAAUAGAGAACCAGGGACUUGUUUGCGAAGAACCCAGGGCCUACUUGCAAAUAUUUUUGGAUGGGGGAUGGCUUCCUGCGCAAAAGGGUAUGAGAGAGGUGGGAGGGCUGUUUUGUGAAAAGGGAAAACUUGAGGGUUAGAUCAAAAUUGGAGGGAAAUUUUCCCCUUUCUUCUUCCUUGGCUCGGUACAGGGGAUACGAGGAAAGAACAGGGGGGCCAGCCGACCAACCUCGCCGGCGGCGAGGCCGUGCUGCGGGGGAGGUAGGGGAGGGAGAGGGCACUCCAUUUAGCCCUCUUACCUUGGGCAAGUGGCAGCGGGGAACGCGGCAUCAGCGGCGAUCAAGGGGCGGCUUGGGUGGCAAGGGAGGUGGCUCUGGUGGUUCGGGGGAGACGAUGGCAAGGUGGUGGCAAUGCUCAGGGCGUUGGCCCCCUUUUAUAGCCGGCGGGGAAAGGUUGGUGACAAGCGGUGCAUAGGGCGGUGGUAGGGGUGGCAGUGCGGCACGGGCGGGGCGACACAAAGCGGCGCUGUGCGCGGGAUGCGCAGGCAUAGGGCGGCACUGAGCUUGUCUAGCGGGCGGCGCGGUGACUGGUCAGUGCACCUGCGGGCGACAACGGCACGUGCUCGGGCGGGUGGCGUGCUGGAGGCAAGGUGAGUGGGGGGGCCAGCGUGGCGCGAAGGAGAGGGCGUGGGCGGCGUAGGGCUUGGCCGGGGCCAGCGCAGGAGUAGCAGGAAGGGGGGCUGGUGGCGCGCGGCUAGGGAAGGGGAGGCAGGUGUGCGCGCCAGGAAGAAGGAAGGAGGAAGAAAGGAGAAGGAAGAAGAAAGAGAAGAAGGAAGAGAAAAGGAAAAAGGAAAGAGAAAAGGAAUAGGGAGAAAAAGAGAAAAAGAAAAGGGAGAGUCGGUGGUGAUUGCAGAAAAUGGUCGGAGCACGUGCGGCGGUCUUUCGUCCAACACGCGGUGGAAUUUGCAGAGAGGAAAAAGAUAAAAGGAUGGUUGUCGGCUUCGGGCGCUAGGACGGCGAAAUCACCGGUAAAGAUGGGAUGUUUGAGAGCUCAAACGGUAAAAGAUUUUGAAAAUAAUUUUUAGCGAGUGAUUUCGGUCAGUAAAUUUUACGGAGUUUACAAACCUACCCCACUUAAAUUGAAUCUCAUCCUCGAGAUUCUAUUGAAUCUUGAAAAGAUGGGGAAAUUCUUUCUUCAACGCAUCUUCGUGUUCCCAGGUAGCUUCUUUUUCACCAUGCCUACUCCAUUGGACUCUGCAAAUCUGCACCACUGAAUUCCUUGUUCUUCUGGUGACGAUGUCUAUAAUCUUGAUGGGUACUUCUUGAUACCGAAGAUCCUUCUGCAAGUCUAUUGUUUCCACCGGUACUUGAUCUUCAGGUACUCUCAAGUAUUUUCUUAGCUGAGAAACAUGGAACACUGGAUGUAUAUCUGACAUUUCUUCUAGCAACUGAAUACCGUAUGCCACCGCUCCAACUCUCUUUAACACCUGGUAUGGUCCAAUAUACCAAGGGGCUAACUUUCCUUGAACUUGAAACCUUCGAGUCCCUCGAAUGGGUAAGACCUUGAGGUAGACAAAAUCUCCUUCAUUGAAGCUCAAUUCUUGUCUCCUCUUGUCUGAGUAGCUCUUCUGUCUGGACUGUGCUGCUUUCAGCUUCUCUCGGAUUUUGACCACUCGGUCCUCUGCCUCUUUUAUAAAGGUAGGUCCAACUAAAGUGCGCUCUCCCACUUCUGACCACAUUAGAGGGGUUCUGCACUUUCUUCCAUAGAGAGCCUCAAAUGACGACAUGCCUAAAUUGGCCUGAUAACUAUUGUUGUAUGAGAACUCUGCAUAGGGUAAACUCUAUUCCCAGUCCUUGCCAUAGGUAAGGACACAAGCUCUCAACAUAUCCUCCAUAAUUUGAUUUACUCUCUCUGUUUGACCAUCGGUCUGUGAGUGACAAGCCGAACUGAAAUCCAACUUGGUGACUUCUCCAGAAUCUAGAGGUAAAUUGGGUUCCUCUAUCUGAAACAAUUCUGCUAGGCACACCAUGCAGCUUUACUAUGUUGUCCACAUAGAGCUGAGCCAGUUUUUCUCCACCAUAAGUGGUCUAUACAGGUAAGUAGUGAGCAACCUUAGUGAGUUGAUCUACUAUUACCCAUAUGGAGUAAUUUCUUUUCUGAGUCUUGGGUAAACCUACCAAAAAAUCCAUACCAAUCUCAUCCUAUUUCCAAACCAGGAUGGGCAAUGGUUGCAGUAAACCCACUGGCUUCUGAUGCUCAGCCUUGACUCUUUGGCAAGUAUCACAAUGGGUGACGAACUGGGCAAUGUCCACCUUCAUCCCAUUCCACCAGUAAUUCUGCUUUAUGUCCAUAUACAUUUUGGUGGCUCCUGGGUGGAUGGAGUAUACCGAGUUAUGGGCUUCAUCCAUAAUGAUCUGCCAAAAAUUCCCUUCCUUGGGUACGCAAAUUCUAUCUUUGUAUCACAAGGUUCCUUUGUCAUCCACUCUAAAAUCCGGGGCCUUAUUCUCUUCGGUUUGCUUGCGGAUUUUCAUUAAAUCCUGAUAUGAACCCUGGGCAUCUCUGAUUUUAUCCUCCAAAGUGGGCUAAACACUUAGCUUGUGGAUGGAAUUCUGGGGAAUAAUGUGCACAUUUAACCAUGCCAUUUCUUCUUGCAGACGAGCAUCCUUGGGUUCGGGCUGCCCAUAAGAUUUUCUGCUUAAGGCAUCAGCUACCACAUUAGCUUUGCCAGGGUGGUAAUGGAUUUCCAGAUUAUAAUCCUUAACCAAUUCUAACCACCUCCUCUGCCUUAAGUUCAAAUCUGGUUGGGUGAAGAUAUACUUCAAACUCUUGUGGUCAGUGUAGAUCUCACACUUAUUCCCAAUCAGAUAAUGCCUCCAAAUCUUGAGGGCAUGCACUACGGCUACAAAUUCCAAAUCAUGGGUUGGGUAAUUCUGCUCAUGAGGAUUAAGCUGGCGGGAAAAAUAUGCCACUACUUUCCCAUCCUGCAUAAGGACAUAUCCUAAUCCUUGUCGGGAUGCAUCACAAUAGAUGACGAAGUCCCACUGAAUAUCUGGCAAGGUUAACACUGGGGUGGUCGUCAAUCUUUUCUUCAGUUCUUGGAAACUUCUCUCACAUGAUUCUGUCCAAGUAAAUUUCUUAUCUUUCCUGAGCAGUUCCGUCAUGGGCCAGGCUAUCUUGGAAAAUCCUUCAAUAAAUCUCCAAUAAUACCUAGCCAAACUAAGGAAGCUUCUGAUUUCAAUAACAUUGGUUGGUUGCUGCCAGUUGAAAACAGCCUCAACUUUCUUGGGGUCAACCGCUACUACUUCUGAGGUCAAAAUAUGGCCAAGGAAUGCCAUUUUCUCAAGCCAAAAUUCACAUUUGCUGAAUUUGGCAUAGAGUCUGUGCGCUCUCAGUUUUUCUAGCACCACUCGUAGAUGCUGCUCAUGCUCUUGGAUACUUUUGAAGUAAAUAAGUAUGUCGUCGAUAAAGACUACAACAAACUUAUCUAACUCGUCCAUCAACACCUUGUUCAUGAGAUUCAUGAAGUAAGCAGGUGCAUUGGUUAGCCCAAAAGACAUCACCGUGAACUCAAAUUGACCAUAACAGGUGACAAAGGCCAUCUUCGGGAUGUCGCUCUCCUUAAUCUUGAGCUGAUGAUAUCCUGACCUCAGAUCAAUCUUGGAGAAAUACUUGGCUCCUUUUAGUUGAUCAAAGAGAUCAUGUAUUCUGGGAAGAGGAUAUUUAUUCUUAAUAGUGACCUCGUUCAAUGCAUGAUAAUCCACGCACAUCCUCAUGCUCCCAUCCUUUUUCUUGACAAAGAGGACUGGAGCUCCCCACGUGGAUGAGCUAGGCUUAAUCAAACCACUCUGCUGCAAUUCUCCUAACUAUUUCUUCAGCUCUGCCAACUCAGAUGUUGCCAUCCUAUAGGGUCUCUUGGCUAUCGGGGAGGUUCCAGGGAUAAGGUCAAUUACGAACUCUAUAUCCCUAUCUGGGGGCAUUACAGGUAGUUCUUCAGGAAAGACAUCAGGGUAUUCACCUACUACCGGGACUUCCUCUAAGGCCUUGGCUUCCAUGCUAAAAACCAUCGGGUCUGGUCCACUUCCCUGAGUGUGACAAGUUACUUGCACACCGUCGUGAUUGGUUAGGUGUACUAUCUUAUCAGCACACCCUAUGUGACCAUCAUGUAAGCUUAACCAAUCCAUUCACUACUAGAUUUUAGGGCUAUUGCCACGGCCAUCAUCCUAUCAACUCAAAUUUUGUUGCAACAGGUAGGGGUUAUUGCAACGAUUUUGAGUUUUCGUUACAACCGGUAGGCGUUAUUGCCACCAUUUGAAAAUUCGUUGCAAUAGGCAGGAGAUAUUGCCACGUGUGUUUUUUGUUGCAAUAAUUAAUUUUUUUCGUUGCAAUAUCGAUGGGUUAUUGCCACGAAAUACGCAAUGUUGCAAGGCUUUGACAUUUUUGCAACGAAUUUGUCACAUUGCCACAUAGCCCAAGGCAACAACGGAAAAUUUGUUGCAAUAGGUCGGUGUUGUCGCAAUGAGUUAAAAAUGGUUGCGAGUUGCUGAACAAAUUGCCAUAGUUUUUUUGUGUUGUUAUAAAGUUUUUUUUUACAUUGCAAUAUCUAAUGGUUAUUGCCACGAAAUAUGUAAUGUUGCUAGUAGGAAGCAAUAUUGCAAUGAAUUUGUUAUGUUGCCAUAUAGCCUAUGGCAACAACAAAAAAUUUGUUGCAAUAGAUAGGUGUUGUUGCCACGAGUUGAAAAAUGGUUGCGAGUUUUAUUUCAGAAAAAUUAAAAGAUGCGCAAUGAGGGAAUCGAAUCUAGGUCUCCAGAGUUUGGACUUGAGCACCUCACCACCACGCUACCCAAUAGUUGGGUGAUGGAUAGCAGCCGAAGUAAAAGAAAUAAAUUCUAUGUUAGUUACAACAAUGUAUCUAUAGUGUAGGACGACACAUCACCCGACCGCUUGCCUACCAUGUCACCCGACCACCGGCCGCGCCAGGUCACUGGCUCCCCAGCCGCGCGCCACGUCACCUGGCCACAGCGCGCCCACUGAAAAUUAGAAAAAAAAAUUAGCAAUCGUGGGUUUUGAACCCUGGUUCUAGAGACCACACUCCAACACCUUACCACUGCACUACACCAACACUUGAGAUGAAGUAUGGUAUUCUAUAUUUUAUACAUUCAUUUUCUCAUGUUUUAUUUCGGAAAAAUUAAAAGAUGCGCAAUGGAGGAAUCGAACCAGGGUCUCCAGCGUUUGGACUCGAGCACCUCACCACCACACCACGUAAUUGUUGGAUGAUGGAUAUGAGCCAAAGUAAAAGAAAUAAAUUCUAUGUUAGUUAUAGCAAUGUAUCUAUAGUGUAGGAUGCCACAUCACCCGACCGCUUGCCCGCCAUGUCACCGGCCGCGCCACAUCACCCGCACCCCAGCCGCACGCCACAUCACCUGGCCACGGCGCGCCCACUGAAAAUUAUUGCCCGCCAUGUCACCGGCCGCGCCACAUCACCGGCACCCCAGCCGCACGCCACAUUACCCGGCCACGGCGCACCCACUGAAAAUUAGAAAAAAAAUCAGCAAGCGUGGGUUUUGAAUCCUAGUUUUAGAGACCACACUCCAACGCCUUACCACUGAACUACACCAACACUUGAGACAAGGUAUGGUAUUCCAUAUUUUAUACGUUCAUUUUCUCAUGUUUUAUUUUGGAAAAAUUAAAAGAUGCGCAAUGGAGGAAUCAAACCAGGGUCUCCAGAGUUUAAACUCGAGCACCUCACCACCACGCUACACAAUUGUUGGAUGAUGGAUAGGAGCCGAAGUAAAAGAAAUAAAUUCUAUGUUAGUUACAGCAAUGUAUCUAUAGUGUAGGUUAAUUACUGAGUUCUUUAGUGCCCACCCUAUUGGAGAGAUCAAAUGCAGCAUCAUUGAGGUUGAAGAAAGGGAAAAAAUACUAUUGAAACAGAUUGAAAAAACAUAAUUUCUACGAGAUAUUAGCAUUUUAGUGUAACUGUCAUGGAUCCUAUGUGCUGCAAUUAUUAUGUGGUAAUUUGGAGAUAGAAGUUUGAAUUGUCCUAAGAAGACAAUUGAAUUUUUCAUCUAUCUCUAAGGCAUGGGCUAGAAUCGAACAUACAAGCUUAAAUAUAAUUUUUGUGCAUUUUUUGAAUCUUAUUUGUGGUACACAUAGUUCAAGUUGGAAUUACUUUCGAUAAGCACGUAGAAAUUCAUUUAAAUGAUAGAAAAUACUAAAUAUAUUAAAAAAUUCUUGAAACUCCUAAUGACAACUUAGAUUUUUUCUAUUACAUGUAAAAAUAUAAUUAGGGGUACAUAAAAUAAUUAUUUUGCAAGUUACUUCACAAGGGUGUAUUAAUUAGUUAGUUAAAAAAUAGAAAAAUAACUUUUUUUACAACAAGUGGCAAUGUAAAUCCACAAAUGUCAACAACAGGGUAAAGGUAAGUUUGUGUCCAAAUUUGAGGUGCAUUGAGUUCAAAAAUAAUACGAGCUAUUCAAAUCUCAAAGUUUGAUUUGAGUUGUGUGAAUGAAUGUGAGAGCUCUAUCCAUUUUGUGAACAACGUACACUCCAAUCUUUUUAAAAUCUUAUGAAACUUUUAUGUCAAGCUUAUAGACCCAAAAUAUGUUCUCAUGUAAAUUUGUAGAAUUUUCUGACCAAAUUUAGAUAUUAUUGUAAUUAUUAUGUGAUAAUUUGGAGAUAGAAGUUUGAAUUGUCCUUAUAAAACACUUGAAUUUUUCAUCUAUCUCCAAGACAUGGGCUAUAAUGAAACAUGUGAGCCUAAAUAUAAUUUUUUUGCAAAUUUUUAAAUUUUACUAGAGAUACGCAUAGUUCAACUUGGAAUUACUUUCACUAAGCCCCUAGAAAAUCAUUUAAAGAGUUAAAAAUAGUAAAUGAGUUAGAAAUUUAUUGAAACUUCUAUAAGGCAACUUAUAUGUAAUCUAUUGUAUAUAACUUCUAUAAGGCAACUUAUAUGUAAUCUAUUGUAUAUAAAAAAUAUAUUGAUGCAUGUUAGAUAAUUAUUUUUUACGUUACUUCAUAAAUUUUAAGCAAAUCUGAGUUUGGGCCAUUUCCUGGGCAUGAAAAAAAGGAAGAGAAAAAAAAUAAAAAAACAUCCCCUCUCCUUAACCGCGAUCGAAGCCCCCCACCCCCUUCCCGGCCUCCUUUCUUCUUCCGCGUGCACCCCCUCCCUCGUGCCCCUCUCCCCGCCCCCUCGCGCCCCUCUCCCUAGAACCCGCGCCCCUCUCCCUGCCCCCUCUCCUCCCUCUCCAGCGGGCAGCGCCCCUCCCCUCCGGCCAGAUCCGGCCACCGCCGCGCCCCCUCCUCCCUCUCCGCCCUAUCCGUGGUGCCCCUCCCCUCCAGCCGGAUCCACCGCCGCCGCGCCUUCUCCUCCCUGAACUCCCUCUCCGUCUUCACCUGCAACCCUAGCGCCUCAUACUCCUCCCCCGCCUCCCACCUUGCCGUAACCCUAGCGCACGCACCACCUCACCGCCGCCGUCCCCCACCUUCGCCACCACCAUGAGGGAGAUCUAGGGCUCAGCCUCGCGCCGCCGGGCGCGGAGCCCUCCGCCGGGGCGCUGUCUUCUUCGUGCCGCGUGUCGAGAUUGGGCCUCGCAAGAUGGAGCCUUCCAAGAAGCUCAGCACCUACCUCCGUCGGGUCCCGGAUCCUCCCCUCCGUCUUUCCCUCCUCCGCCUAGGUCGGCCCCCGUCCUCCGUGGAUCUCUUCUUUCUUUGUACUAGGGGUUUUCUUUGCACUUUCUCUGCUGCAAUGCUGUUGUUUGAAUUUGGAGGUCAUCACUGUGUGUAGGUUCCUUUGUUUUAAUUCUCUGCCACAAGCUGGGAGUUGAAAUCAUUGAGAUGCAUGGGCCUUCUAACAUUGACAUUACUCAAGAGAAAUCUGAACGCUUGACCUCAUGGUAGUUUAAUGACGAGGUGAAUACUUAUAAUGAAUAUCUUUUGUUCGUCUGUGACAAAAACAUGUUGAAGAAAAGAUGCUAGAUGCUUCAACAUAUCUAUGUGACGCUAGGAUCAUAUUUCUACCGCUGGCUGUUCUGGAAAAAAAAAUUGCAACCUCUGUUGUUAUAUUAUUUUUUUGUCAUUGCAGGUCAUCAGUUUGCUUCUUCCUUGUUAAUCUGAUCCUGUUGCAUGUGCUGGUGGAAUCAUCACUUCAAAGUUGGAUACUUAGCAUAGGGCGAUGCUACUUGGAUGGUCCAGAUUGCAAGCAGAUUGAACACUACUUAAGUCCAUACUUUUUAUCAAGAUCAUCACUUUCAUCCCUGGCAUUCUUGAUCACGUGUACCUUUCUGGGAAUAUCUUUUGAUCUGUUGGCACCAAUCCCUUGGAUAAAGCAUAUAAUGAAGAAAUUUAGAAAUAAUGACAUGGUCCAGUUGGUACCUGAAGAAAAUGAGGACUAUCUAAUGAUGCAGAAUGGUGAAGAAACUAAUAAUUUGACAGCACCUCUGAUGCCUGAGAGAGAAGACCCUUUUGGAUAGUAUCGAGGGGCAUGAUCUUUCUCUAUACCCAUUAAACAGAAGCUUCCACAUGCCAAAGCAUACUUUGGCUACCGAUAUCUUGUGGACAAUUACAAUUUCUUGUUUGUGUACAGAGUUAGAGGAUUUCGUGCAGGGAAUGAUGGGAAGCUGAUGGACAGAGUGUUGUGCAUCAUGCAAUUCUGUGUGAUCUUCCUUUCUGCAGUGCUGCUCUUCUUUGCGGUUCAGGGUGAUUCAUGAAGCUCCAAGGUAUAUGUACCCUUGGGAUGUUAGUGUUCUAUAAGCUGCUGCCUUCUAGAAGUGAUCGCUUCCAGCCAUCUUUGUUAGAACUUAGAAGGGAUGCAAACAAUUAAUAGCUUUGUAGAUGAUCUCACAGAUUAUAGUGUUUUUUCACAACCUGAUCUGGAUUAUAGUCUGUAUCAAUCCUGAAGGGAAAAAACUUAAGAUCAAUACACUCUUUUGUUUCAUUACAAUGGCAUGCUUUUAUCAGUUGAUCUUAGUCGCAUCACAGGAAAAUAAAUAUUAUACAAAUAAAUAUUAGGAGUGAGUCCCACAUGUAACUUAUGUGUAAUUUUAUAUUCAGAUUUCCUUAUCUUCUAUUGUGUAAUGCUAGAAAUUACAUAACAAAAGGAUUGUCUGCCUCUGCUACAGCUGUCUGACUUGCACUAUAUCUUUUAAACAAUCGAUCUAGUCUAGGUGAGGCAUAAUGCAUAUGGUCUGUUCACCUGAGCUGUCUCCAUGUUGUUCAACUGAAUAGAAAUAUUUAAUAUAUUUUUUGUAUAACUCUAGGUAGUAAUAUUUUUUGUUUGUCAUGCAGAAGCUGUUUCAUACUGAUUUUUGCUAAUUAUAUUUCCAUGCUCUACUCUAGCCGGACAAGAACUUCAUAUCAUUAGGUUUAUCAAACAUGUAAAAGUAGACCAGCAACAUUCAUAGCUGUUGCUUAAGUAUCCCUGUCUACAAUUGGUCCUAACUCCUAACAUCACUUAAUAGGAACAGCAGGUCAUGCUGCUAAUAGUGUGCACCUAACACUUUGUAAAGGUGGAAAGGAGAUUAAUGCUAAUGGUUGUCGUUAAAUUAGGCAGGCUUCAAUGGAAUUGCAAUUUGACAGAUCAGUUUUCUUAAGAUUCACCCCUCCUACCAAUCAAUCUACUACUUUUUAGUUCCAUACAUUGAUUCCUUUUAGUUAGACCAGAGAUAUGUACUGGUGUGGUAAUCUCUUGCUCUAAUGGUCCGUGGUGGACAAAGCUUUCCUUGCAAGACUGUACAUGCUUACUUCCUCACUGAAACACGACAAGAAGAGAAAGAUAUGUCCAGAUCAGCGCUUAUAAUUCAGAAACUUUGAACCAUAAUCUACUAUUCUAUUCUACUCUGUGUCUUUUUCCGAUAAUGUAAAUUAUAGUCCACUACCUUCUAGUUCUACUACGGUAGUAUUUUUUAUGUAUUUCUUGGUACGUAAUAACAAGCUGUGGUAAUUCACAAUGGGUAAAGACAUCUUUUUUUUUACUUCUUGGGCAGGAAUACAUAUCAUUCAGCCCUAUGCGCAGCUAGCCUUGCAAGUCACGAACAGCGUGCACAACACAAAGGCAAGCGUUCCAACACUUGUUGGCGGUGCUCCUGUGGAAGUAAGGAGAUGAAAAAAUGGGAUGAACCAGCUCAUGCACGCAUCAUGGUGUCGUUGCAAUCACAUUUAUAUGCCGAUGAAAGGUAAUAUGCAACUGUAUGCCUGUAUAUAACUGCUAUAUGCCGAUCACAUGUUAUCUCGUUCCUCUGCAGGUUAAGUAUGUGGGAGAUACCGGGAGGAGCAGAACGGCUUGCAGAUGACGGGCUUGAAUCUCAUGGACAAGACGAUGACCGUCCGGGGAGCUAGGAUUGCCUCUUCAGGUUAUGCAAACAUGACUUGAUGCUGUUUUUGGUAGAUGUUGUUCAUGCUAACAUGAAUGGAUGCUGGACCAUAUUGUUUGUGGCAUAGGCAGUAAAGGUUGUCGAUCUAAUAGAUAUUUGGCUAUAUUGUAUUGACGAUCUGUUAGAUGUUUAGCUAUAUUGUAUUAUCUCUACCAGAGACAAAUUUGAAAAAUUCAAUUUUUGCUACAUUGGAUUUGGUUUGAUACAAAUUGUGUUGCCAUAGAAUCUGUGAUAACGUAAUAUUGUCCGUUGCAAAACGAAUUAUUACCACCACAUAUGUUUCCAUGGCAAUAUAGUUUAUUUCGACGAAACCAAUUGUGUUGCCAUAUGAGAUCUGUCACAACGUAAUAUUUUCCGUUGCAAACCGAAUUAUCGCCACCAAACAUGUUUUCGUGGCAAUAUAAGUUAUUACCACGAAAGCAAUUGUGUUGCCAUAGGAUCAGUCACCACGUAAUAGUUUCCGUUGCAAAACUAAUUAUUGCCACCGAAAAUGGUUCCGUUGCAAUAUAGUUUAUUUCCACGAAAUAAAUUUAGUUGCCAUAGGUAUGUCACAACGUCAAAUUUUCGUGGCAAUAUAUUAUAUUGCCACCAUGUAAAUCGUUGCGAAAUACCAUAUUACUAUAGAGUUUGUACGUUGCAACUACGUACUGUAGCAAUGACUGCUUGCGUUGCAAUACAUGCUAAUGCAAUGAAAUCCUCCGUUGCCAUACUCUAUAAUGCAACAAAAAAGUGUGUGGCAAUUACCAUAAAUUGCAAUGGCCCACAAAAAACAUUGCAAAGAGCUAUUGCAACGCCAGUGCUUGCCACGCCUGCCAACCAACCAGUCGCCAUUGCAAUUGCUAGAUCUGCAUUGAUUUUGGGCAUAUUGCAACAUUUUUUUGCCGUUGCAAUAGACCAAAAAUCUAGUAGUGAUUCCAAGGAUCACAUUUAUCCCCUUAGACUUAAGUACUACUAGGUCUGCUAGGAACUCUACCCCACUUAAAUUGAUCCUUACCCGGGAACAACCUAGUUGACACUAAAUGUUAGCUCCAGGCAUUCAGGUUAAUAGGGGUAACUUUAGUAGUAUUGUGGGUAUGUUGUACUUGUCCACAAAGUUGAUGAUAUAAAAGAAUGUGAUGCUCCAGAAUCAAAAAGUAUUGUUGCCAAGACUGAGCUAACUAGGAACUCACCGAGUACCAUGCCCUAAGCUUCUUAAGGCUCUUGCGCGCUGAUGUGGUUGACGCGGGCUCAUCCAAAUGUCUGCGGGGCGGCCUCAUCUGCUAGCUGUAGUUACUGCUGGGGUUGUUGUUGCUACGGACUGGGACACGGUUAGCUCCUGACAAUGCUGACCUUGGUCCAUUUACAGAGUUGGAGAAGGCCGAUGCUACUGGCUUGUUGGCAUAUGGACAGUUGGUGAUGAAAUGCCCUGUCUCACGGCAGUUGAAACAUGCCCUUCUAUUGUUAGUGACCUCAUCGAUGCUACUAUGCGGGGCCUUGAUAGGGUUCUAGCUUCUGAAUGGGGCAUUGGAUUGGUGGGAACUGGAUGCUUGGGACUCGGUCUGGUACUACAUAGGAGCUUGGGACCUAGGUACUAGAUGGCUGAAGCUCCAUGGCUUCUGGAAUCAGUCCUGCUGGUGGGCCUUGCUUUCCAGGAACCGACGCUUGUUGUCCCUCCGCUCGUCUGCUUUGGCCCUCUCAGUCAGGAUGGCCAUGUUCAUCUAGGUGUUGAAGUCGGGGUAGAUCUAAGGAGUAAGUAGGGUCCUCACUUCUACAUUCAAGCCAUUCUUGAACAUAUCCCCAUUCUCCAAGCCUUGAGAUGAAUCUGUUGAGGGUCGCCAUGAAUCUAGUCAGCUUCUAAACAUCCUUGAUGCCUGAUAGGGCAUGCAUAUUAGUGAUGGCAGAUAUCUUUUCUGGAUUUGCCUCAAUUCCUCGUUGACUAAUAAUAAAACCGAGUAGCUUCCUAGAUGACAUGCCGAAGAUGCACUUUGUCGAGUUCAGCUUCCACCAGAAUUCAAGCAGGCUAGCGAAGGUUUCUUCCAGGUCCGCGAUCAUGUCAUCUUGAUUUCUAGUCUUUACGACCAUGUCAACCACGUACGCUUCGACAUUGCGGUGUAUCUGCUUCUUGAAGCACUCCUAGAUUGCCCGUUCAUAUGUAGCAUACGUUCUUCAACCCGAAAGACAUUGUCGUGUAGCAGAAAGCUUUGCAUGGUGAUGAACACAGUCUUGAUCUGAUCUUCUUUGAGAGCUACCUGGUGAUACCCUGAGUAUCAAUCGAGGAAAACAAGUAGGGCGCAUCCAGUUGUGGAGUUGAUUACUUUAUCAAUCCUAGGGAGCCCGAAUCGAUCCUAUGGACAAUUCUUGUUGAGGUAUGUGUAGUCAACGCACAUCCUCCAAUCAUUGUUGUUCUUCUUUCGCACCAAGACGGGAUUGGAGAGCCACUCUAGAUGGUUGAUUUCUUUUAUGAAGCCUGCCGUGAGUAAUUUAGCUAGCUCUUUCUUGAUCAUGUCUCUCAUGUCUUGGGCGAAUCGGCAUAGGUGUUGUCUCUUUGGUGUAGCUUUUGGGUUUACGUUGAGUGAGUGCUCGAUCAGCUCCUUGGGCAGCCCCAGCAUGUCCGCUGGCUUGCACGCGAAGAUGUCUCAGUUGGCCUGGAGGAAACUGAUGAGCGUGCUUUCCCAUUUAGGAUCCAGCCCUGUGCUAAUCAGGUCUAUCGUAGAGCUAUCACCAGUCUCAAGGUCAAUGGCUUUGACGUCGACUGCGCUUGCUGGCUGAACCUUGGUCACCAUCGAAUUCUUUUCUAGAAUCUCGAUCUCUGAUGGGGAUAGUUUCUUGGAUGCGGUGAAGACUUGCAUCGUUGACUUUGGUACUUGAGUAGUCGCUUUUAGCUCCACAGCUUCUGUGUGGCAGUCGUACGACCUCUUCAAGUCUCUGCAUAGCGAGGGUACUCCCUUGGGUCCCAACAUCUUGAGUACCAAGUACACGUAGUGCGGGAUGGCCUUGAAUUUGGCCAGUGCUGGUCUUCCGAGGAUAGUGUGGUAUGAUGUUUUGAAGUUCGCCACCUCGACCCAAAUGUAGUCUGUCUUGUAAUGUUCUUUGGUGCCAAAGUUAACUGGCAAAACCAUCUGUCCAAGGGGCACAACGGAGAGUUCAUCGGGGUGAGCAUACCGAUGACGUCGAAGCCAUCUUCUUCAGCGUCUUGGCGAACAGGACGUUAAGGCUGCUACCGCCAUCAAUGAGUACUUUGGUGAGUCUAGAGCGAGCGACCACCAGGUCUAAGAUGAGAGGGUACCAUCCUGGGUCUGAGAAAAUAGUCCAUAGGUCUUUCCUAGAGAAGGUAAUUUGCACCUCAGACCAUUUAAGGAACAUUGGUGCUGCGGAUUCAAUGGACAUUAUCUCUCGCAAAGUGAGCUUCUGGGACCGCUUGGUAGCAGUGCCCAGGGUUCCACUGAAGAUGACGUUGACUGUGUUGGAGGGGUUCUAGAACUUGUCGUUGUCCCCAUCGUCUUCAUCUUCCUUGGUUUUGCAUUUAUCCUUAGCGCUUAAUGGCUCUAGCAGAUCCUUCAUGACUCUGCGUAGGCUGAAGUAGUCUAACACAGAGUGCUUGUGGUGUGGGUGCAAUGGGCACUGUAUGUUUAGGAGCUCGUUGAAUGAGGGCCUGUCUUGGUUCUUGCCGCCACUUUUCUUGGAUGACUGCUAGAUUGCCACGAUAGUAUUGUCUGGCUUGCGCUUGCGGUUCUAACUUCCCAAGUAGUUAUUUCAGUUGUCAUUGGGGGCAAUCAUUGCGUUGACCAUUACUCUAGUUGUUGUUGUUCUGGCCCUAUUUGUGAUUGGACUCAAACCUUUCGAUCUCCCUAUCUUCAUCAUCUGCCCACGUCUGUGCCAUGAUCUUGAGGGAUUUGACAUCAGCGGGGAGUCUUCUGCCGAAGUCUUGAAUCAUUCGGCGGUCGUGGAGGCCGUUUUAGAAGCAAUCAAAUGACGUCUCGCUAUGUGAAAUCCACAAUUGUGGCCUUCUUGUUGAACAAGCAACGUAAGUAGCUCCGCAGGGUCUCGCCUUCUUGUUGCAUGACCUAGGACAAGUCGAUCCAAUUGCCAGGUGUAACACCCAAAAAUUUCAAAAUUCGCAACUUAAUUAAAUUUGCCAAAUUAAGGUUGCAUUUAAAUUCUUUAGGCAUUUAAAAACCUUUCCAAAUUAAAUUAAUGCAUCAUAGGAGUUUAUUGUUACAUUCAUGCUGGUGCCUAUUUUUGCUUGAGUUGAAUUUGAGUUUGAAUUUCAAAAUUUGAAUUUGUUUCAAAACCCUUUUCUUUUUCUUCUUUUGGGCCGCUUCCCCUUCUCCUCUCUCUUUUCAGCCUAGCGGCCUGUUUUCCUUCUUCCCCCACACCAACCCAGCUCCCUCCGGCCCAACCCUUCCGCGCGCCCAACCUGCCAGCCAUCCCAGCUCGCCCCUCAUCCUCCAGCCGCUGACAGGCGGGCCCCGCCUGUCAUCACCUUCCUUCCGCAACAGCUGCGCUCCUUCCUUUCUUCCGCAACCGCCGCUCCGUUUUCCUUGCGUGCGCUAGAGUCCAGCCCGAGCACGAGCUCGAGCCUGAGCAGGACUCUUCCCCGCAUCCGCCACUUGGCCCGCACGCCAAGACCCCAAUAAAUAGCCGCCGACCCCAGCCCCUUUUUCAUCAAACCCUAGCUAGCCCUCCGUAUGUAGCACCGCUGCCAUUAAAGCUCGAGCAGCUGCCACCGUCACCUUUUUGCCAUCUUGAGCAUCGCCGGAGCUUCGCGUAUUAGUGAGGACCCCGGCCGAGCCUUUUCCACGCGUCCCGCACCCGCUUUUCACCCGUGUGUGCUCGCCGGAGCACCGCUGCCGCUGCUAGACUUUGCGCGUCACCUCCGUUGUGACUUGUCCACCACCGGCCCUUUGAUCGCACUCGCCGUGCUCCCAUCUUUCUCUUGGUGCAAACGGUGCUCAAAACCGCACCCGGAUGCACGUUUUCGGCAAACGCCGGUGACCCGCCGCCGCUCGCCGGCGAAGCGCUGCCGCAAAUCACCGUUCCGCCGCCACGAAGCGCCGUAGCCAUCAGAUCUCGAUCCGAUGGCGCAGAUCCACCCCGCUCGUAGUCAACCGCGUUGUGCUGCUUCUAUUGCAUUUAGGCCCCUGCAGUUUUUACUAAUUGCUCCGCGGUCCGUCGCAGUUCCAAAGUAUUUCAAAACGAGUCCUAUUUUCUUUCGUUUUAAACCCCGCGCUUUUGCAUUUUUGCGCAUUUUUGCGAAACCAUAGAUGCAUUUUUCCGCGUGAAACCUUCGGUUUGUACGCAUAAUUGCCUUUAGGUCCUUGGUUUCUUGCUGUUAAGCCUCGUAGUUUAGUUUUCUCGCAGAUAGGCCCCUGUAGCUUGUUUUAAGCAUAUCUUUUGCAUCCUAGCUCCGUUUUUAGCGUUCUUUAUAUCCACGUGUUCAUUUUGAUGCGUAGAAUAGUUUAUUAAGCUUGUUUCUUUGUGUUUACAUUGACUGGUGUACUGUUUUAUGAUGUUAUGCAUUUUUUUGCUUGUAUGUGCUCAUAUGACACGAGUAGACGGUCAACAGCUCGAGGGGUUCGAGGAACAAGCUUUCGAGGAGUUUAAGCAGCAGGAGCUAGAGCAAGAAGGCAAGUCGUUUCCUUGAUCACUUCUUUAAGUUCUAUUAAACCUUUACUUUCAUGUUCAAUACAACAUAGCUAUCCACUUAAUAGUUUAUAAACAUGAUGGGUCCCAAUUAAGGAUUUCCUAGAUUUCAUUACCUAUGCCUUGACCAACCGGGUUUACUUUAUGUUGGGUAGUUCAUGCUUAUUGUUUUACUUGGGUUAUGGUGGUUAUACUGAAAACAAUGAUUAAAGUUGCUUUACUUAUGCUAUACCUUUCACUAAUAAAAGAUCAUAAAAGUUUAAUUGGAACAUGGAGCGACCACCUAGGAAAAUAGUGCAACCACCAGAACUAUCAUGGCUCUAGUCCUGGCUAACUAAUUAGAAACUCUUGUUUGAAGCGGUCUUACCAAAAGGGUAAGAGAGGCGGCGGUAGAUGGGGUAUAGCACCCUUCCUCUUGGGAAGUGGGCUUAGCUAAGACAAUGUACCCACUAGGGGUUGUUAAACUCUGCUAAUGAUCCAGGAACCUUAGCGGACUACUUCAUAUUAGGAAAUCUUUGUAAAGGCCUCGUAGCGUCCCUAUGCAAUCGCAGCUCCGAAGUGUGGUAUGAUGCCUUGCAAACACUGCAUGGUUGGGUCCAAAGUUCUUUUGAAAUUUUACGUGACUGGUGGGUAAAGAUGUGCAAUCUCUGCAGAGUGUAAAACUGAUCGAUCAGCCAUGCUCACGGUUAAGAGCGGCCUGGACCCUCACAUAAUAAUAUUAUCGAAAGAUGGACUAAAAUCUUUGUCAUUUAUUCAUGGUUAUGUUGCUAUUCUAUUUAUGUUCUUGUUUAAUUUCAGGUGGUAUAAACUUACACUUAGUUAAUACCUUAGCCAUACCUUAAUUUGCCUUACACUACACUAUUCCCCACGACUUGUUGAGUACCAACCAUAAGUGUACUCACCCUUGCAAAAUCGCUGUUCAAACCAAGUGAAUCUAGAGGAGUAUCCGCACGACUUUGAGGAGUUCUAGGUGUUCGUUUCUUCAGUAAGCUACCUGUGGAGUCAUCGCUACCUUUGAAGUCUGCUGCAUAAUAAAGUAGAUUUUUGUUUUAUUGAGACUUUCAGUCAUGUAAUAAUGAUUAAUACUCUCUUUAUUAGUUUUGGCGCUGUCUUUGAUAUUCACGUAUGUCGUACAUAUGUGUAACUUGAUCUUGGAGCACAUGUAUUCAAUGCACUUGAUUUUGUCCUUAAAACCGGGUGUGACACCAAGAUGCUGCAUUGCCUCCUCGUAGUUGUUGGUGAAUGCCACCUUGAGGUCUAUUGGAUUUAGUGACUAGCAGUUCACCAGGGGGUUACCCAGGUGGUAUAUUUGUAGGCGGGGGAAAUCGUGAGACCAAGAACUCGAAUGGUAACACAGAGGCGCAGGAUUUAGACAGGUUUGGGCCUCCGGAGAGUAAUAUCCUACGUCCUGUGUUCUGGUGGAUUGUAUUGCUGAUCGCAGAUGUGAAGAGUUAAUGUGAGGUGGAAUGAGUUGAGUUAUGUUGCGUUACCCUCGGGAGAGGCACCCCUGGCCGCCUUAUAUAGGCUGACAACCUAGGGUUACAAUCAAAUAGGAUCUAAUCCUAGUCGGUUAUUACAUGGAAAGCAAUUUGAGUCGGUUUACAACAAGUAUCCCGUGAUAUCCAGGGUGAAUUGAUAGCCCAGCCUCCUAGCUUGUGCUCCACGCAUAUUCAUGCCUUGGUCCGCGCAGCAUGGUCAGGCGGGCCCACUUGUCAACACCGGUCAGUAUCCUAGUCGGGGGGGACCCAUGGGUACCCUUAUCCUUCAAGCUCCUGAGCGAUGUGGAGUCGAACAGGAACCUGACGAAUGCACAACGAGGCUUGUAAUGUACUCAGCUGAAGGUGCGGUUUCGUCAUAGUGAUGGAGAGGCUGAGCAGUGCUCAAAAAAGAAAGAAAAAAUGGAAGCUUCCAUAGGUGUGUGACCAAACAUGCACGGCUAUGCAACUACCAAGCUUCGGGAUAUCUGGCAUCAUGUAGAUCGAAGGGAAGCACAAGGAGGGUGUCACAAGAUGCACUCCAUAUGGAGAAGCCCCCGAGCAUUGAAGUGAUUAAAGUAAUCAUUCCAAUAGUCAACAAUCUGAUGUAUCAUUUCCAUCAUAAAAGGGAUCCAAAUAUAGCACCUAGCCCCUGAGCGCGAGGACUGGCGGAGCUACAGAGGCACGCCGACUUGAAGUAGGCGUCCAUCCCUUGAGUACGAGGUCUGAUGGAGCCACGAAGGCACGCCAAUCUAAAAUAGGCACCCAGCCCCCAAGCGUGAGGACUAAUGGAACCACGAAGGCACACUGACCUGAAAUAGAUGCCUAAACCCUGAGCGCGAGGACUGGUAGAGCCAUAGAGGCACACCGACCUAAAAUAGGCGCACAGCCCCUGAGCGUGAGGAUUGGCGGACCCACGCAGGCACACCAACCUGAAAUAGAUGCCCAGACCCCGAGUGUGAGGACUAGCAGAGCCAUGGAGGCACACCCACCUGAAAUAGGCGCCACCCCCCGAGCGCAAGGCCAAGCAGAGCCACGGAUGCAAGCCGACCUAGAAUAGGCGCCCAACCCCCGACCGCGAGGACUGGUGGGGCCACGGAGGCACACCGACCAGAAGUAGGCGCCCAGACCCCAACCACGAGGACUAGCGGAGCCAUGGAGGCACGUCGUGCGACUUAACGGAAAACCCGUGGGUUCCAUCCAUCGCUUGCAUCGUAACAAGGGCCCAUGGAUUCCGUCACUAGGUUUACGCCGUUAAUGCCUUCAAAAGCCAAAGAGGCACGGUUUCCUUCUCAUUUCCACUCCACCCGCACCCAAGCACCACCACCGCCAACGCCAUCGCCGUUGCGCCUGGGAGCCCAAGGUCACGCCGCCGCGUCUGCAAGCUGCAUCCAUCGCUCCUCCGCCCAAAGGCUGUAGUCACUGCUACAGCACCACCAUUCCCCACCGCAUGUGAACCAAGAGGCCCGCCAUCAUCAGAUCUAUGUCCCAAGGAGUAGAAACUGAAGAAAUGGCGGCGAAGCAGGCACUAGAUCCAUCCAUGUACUGGGUGAAAUCCAUGAUGAUCGAGGAGAGGAUCCAAGACCUUGUUGACCGCGGCCUGCUCGAUCCCAAGUACCUCCUAGAAUGGAAGGUGAUUGCAGGCCAGGAGUGCCCCACCGAGGACAAGACCAAAGCCAUCAUCUUUGCGGCGCUCUUUGAGCAGGGAUUCGGGAUCCCGACGGGGGAUUUCUUCCGCAGGUUGCUAGAGUACUACAAGAUUGAGUUGGUGCAUCUCAACCCUAACUCCAUUUUGGACAUCGCGGUUUUUAUCCACCUUUAUGAAGCUUUCCUCGGCAUUCCUCCCUAUUUCAAUCUGUGGAGAUAUCUCUACCAACUGAAAAUUGUGUCAACCAAGGGGAAGUCGAGAUUGAUUGGUGGUUGUGGGUUUUCGCUGCUGCCAAAAAGGGUCUUGGAGUAUUUUGAUUUGUAGCUCAAGGACUCGAACAAAGGGUGGCACAAGCAAUGGUUCCUUAUCACCAAUCAGAGGCUCGAGCUGCCACCCUGCCUGGGUAUGCACCGGUGACAAGGCUAGAAUGGUCGAACCAGUUGACCUCCAAGGAGAUGGUCCAGGUCAACUAGCUGCUGAAGGAGAUCGCUAACCUGAAGAGAUGUGGGCUCACAACAGAAGCUGUGAGCAUCAAUUUCUCCAGGAGGCUAACACAGCUAAUCAAGGACAGGGUUCAUCCAGCAUACGAGUACUUGGGUCUGUUGGAUCCGACCUAGGAAGUACAACGGAAAGUUACUCAGGAAGAGGUUGCCAGCCAGGUCUGCGAGCUCUUCAGUGGCGUCAUCAAGAACAAGCACUGCACUAAGGUGUACUCCCUCAUGAGGCCGGCCGACCCAAUAAGAUAUUGGUUUCAUCAAUCAGCUUUCCUACUUUCAAUUUGCAUCUUCUCUAACUAUUCCUGUUGAUUGACCAGAGCCAUGAAUUUGAGUUUUUCUAUCCAACAUCACUUCCCGAAGGGGUUGACCCACAACGGCCAAAGAUCCGGCCCACACCGAUGUUCAGCAGGCACCUGCUGCCCUGGACUGGGAGUCGGACUCAUCCCUUGAUGUCUCCGAUGAGGACGUUCUGGUCCAGGGCAGCAGGACAAAGGCUGGAAGUGCUACUCCUAUUAGGCGGCGGACGUGCCAGGCCAUUCACAAGGUGGUGGAACCCAAGGCACUGGAGGUGAAAAGGGGGAAGAGGAAGAAAAGAGGGGCCACCAAGCCCAAGGUGCCAGCUGGGGCAACCACCUCCCUGUAGAGGCCUCAUCCGGAGACAUAAGUGAUGAUUUUGAGUCACCUAGACUACUCGCGGAGAUGAAGAAGGCCGAGCUCCUUGAGACAACCACUACCGACGCAGAGAACUCAAGGAGCGGCUAAAGAUGGAGAUCCACAGGGGAAAGUGGAAGGAGCUGACCUUGCUGCCGCUAGCGCCUCUUCACCUAAAGUUCCGAGCGAACAAGAGCACACUGUGAGUGAGUCGUGGCGUCACUUAUUGUUGAAAGUUUGUUUGUAUGCUACUUCACCCUUUAUCUGUUCUACACGGACCAAGCAGGGAAGCGGUGAUGGAGAAUGAGGCAAGCAUGUAGGAGGCCAGCGCUGGGACCCAACUGGGAGGUCAUGUUCUUGAUGCGGACCUGGGGGCUGCGUCUACUUCGUCUACCCAGGCCGAACACGUCGGCGACCUGGUGGUAGAGCCGAAGAGGCCCAAACAAAAGUAUCCAUCGAGCCUAGAUGCUGCAGGGGGUGCUACCGUCUCCACACCCAGGGCCACGGAUGCUAGCACCAUGGAGUAGAUGGAGGGGAGCCCCAAGGAGGUGCCGGCUGACACCAAGGAGACAGGCUAUGAUGCAAACGUCAAUGCCCACGCGGAUGACGAUUCCACCACGCUGGACUUCUCUAGGACAGACCUUGCACAGGAUGUGGCGGAAGACAAGAAAGAGAUUGCCGUCCUUAAGGAAGCCUCAGCCAAGGUCAAGGAGGUUUUAUACGUAAGUUGGCUAACCUAUCUUGAUGCUGACUUUUGUCCCUGUCUUCCAUCUUUGAAAUGUUGGAGUAACUUUCGUACAGAAUCUGGCCGAACGCACGCACAACAAGGCGGAUGCCAUCGACCGUGCUGAGGAGUAUCACCUUAAAGCCGAGCGCCUGAAGGCCAAGGUCAAUGGGGUCAACGACGAUGCUGCGGAGCAGCUCCAACGUAAGGCUCGGGAGCUGGAGGAGUAGAAGAAGAUCACCAAGGAGGUCCAGGACGACCAUGGUGCUUUGCAGACUGGUACAACUUCGUCCCUUAUGGAGGAUCUAACUUAGGUAGAUGAGGCCGGUAUCUUUUCCUGAGUUCCGCUAUUUUGCAGAUGCCCACAAGAAAGAGGAGAGACUCAAGAGAGACCUCAAAGAGUGCGAGGCUGCCAAUGCCCGACUGCAGCAAGACCACGAUGUCGCCGUGCACCGUGAGUAUGCUGUGUCGCAAAUACUUGCUUAUGAGGCUAGCUUGCACAAGGAUAUGGACCGGUGCUUGGUUUCCGCAAUGCACAGUCUCCAGUAUGAUCAGGUGGUCAUUGCAAGUUUGGAGGUGGAGCUGGAAGACCUGUGGUUGGCCGCGGGCUACGUAAUGGACAUGGUCCAGGCCGAGGCCAAUCCUACCGAGCCAACGCAGUUGCUGGACUGACUGAGGAGUGCUCCUCGUUAGCUGAAGGAGCUCAUGAUGGAGACUGUUGUGGAGUGCACGAAUAACAUCAUUGUGCUUCUCAAGACACACUACCCUUGAGUGGCAGUCAAGCGCGUCGGAGCAGGGGUAGCUAAAGGCUUCGAUCCUGAUAGCCUUCCAGAGUUGGCCGACCAGUAUCAACUGGCUGCGGAGGAGGUAGUUAAGGAGUUGGACCUGUAAAAUAAAACUAAGAUGUGUAUCAAUCUGUGUCAUGAGACAAGUAAACAUAUUGAUUAACUUAUGUAAAGGCAAAACUCCUUCCUUCGCUUGGUGUGUUUGAUAGGAUAGCGUGUGGCCAAGGCCUGUAACCACUAAGCGCCUAGCCUUGCCUAGCCAGCACUCUAUUGAGAGCGGAUCUUGAGCUUGUAGAGGGGGCGAGCGCAAGGUUGUCUAGGUUUUGCAUGCUAGGACUCUAUCCACACGAGUUAGUCGCACAACCUUAAGACGAGUAGGAGAAAAGUUGGGACCCAGAGGUCAGUGCGUAGCGGGGGAAGCCCCUGAGCGUAAAGGUGAGGGUGUGGUCUGUCAAUCAGGUCAGACAGUCCCCAAGCAUGAGUAAGAGCUCGGUAAAAAAGAGCAAGAAGGUAGUAGGUACGCAAAGAAUCUCUAAGGUUUUAUUUAUUCAAUGUAAAAGGUAUAAAGAGUACAUAGCUUGAAUGUCCAAAGGGUAGAAGCGUCACAGGUUUUGAAUGUUCCACAGGUUCGGGAUGCCUGAGCCAUCCGCUCACUGCAGCCAGUAAGUGUCGGGCUGGACAACUUCUUUAAUGAUGGAGGGCCCCUCCCAUGGGGCCGACAGCUUAUGCAUGUCCUUGGUGGACUGGAUCUAGUGGAGCACUAGGUUGCCGAUGUUGAAUGAGCGUUCAUGGAUGUUCCUGUCAUAGUAGCGUCCAAUCUGCUACUUGUGCCAUGCAUGCUGAAUGAGGGCCACCACACGAUGCUCUUCCAGGCUGUCAAUAUCGACCUGCUGACUCUUUUCCGCUUCCCCUUCCUCGUAGUAUUGAAUCCACGGGGCACCAAAGACUACUUCUGUUGGCAGUACAGCCUCUGAGCCAUAGACGAAGAAGAAUGGAGUGUAGCCGGUGACCCGACCCUUUUGGGUACGGAGGCCCCAAAUGACUUGGGGUAACUCACGAAGCCAUUUGGUAGCGUACUUGGACGCAUCAUCAAAGAUGCAAGAUUUGAGGGAUUGGAGGACCAUCCCAUUCGCAUGUUCGACCUUGCCAUUGCAUUGUGGGUGAGCUACUGAGGAGUAGUAUACGUCGAUGAGGUUGUCCUAGUAAAAAUCCCAGAAUUCGGAUCCUGUGAAUUGUUUGCCCAUGUUGGUGAUGAUCCUAUUGGGGACCCCAAAGCGGUGUGUAAGCUCUUCGAUGAAUUGAGCGGCUUUAGCCAACCCUAUGCUGGUGACAACCUUGACUUCAAUCCACUUGGUGAAUUUGUUAACUGCCACAAAGAUAUGGGUGUAUCCGCACAGAGUGGUCUUGAAAGGGCCGACCAUAUCCAGCCCCCAGCAUGUGAAGGGCCAAGAUGGUGGGAUGGUGCGCAGGGCCUGCGCUGGAAGGUUCUGCUGCUUGUAGAAAAAUUGGCACAUUUUACACCUCUGGACGAGCUCUUUUAUGUCGCCGAUAGCAGUUGGCCAGUAGAAACUAGAGCGGAACGCUUUCCCGACAAGAUUGCCCGAGGUGGCAUGGUUCUCGCACAAACCUGAGUGGAUUUCGUGGAGGAGUUCAAGGCCUUUGUUGCGGAGGAUGCACUUCAUCAGAAUGCUAGUAGAUGCAGUCUUCCUGUACAACACCUUACCAAUCACAACGUAGUUGGUGCUGCAUCAUGUGAGCUUUUCAUGCUUAGCUUUGUCGUCUGGGGACAUGUUGUUGGCGAUGAAUGCGAUGAAAGGUGUGCACCAGUUGUCUUUCGCCUCAAUCAUUAGGACAUCAGUGGGCGCUUGGUUGGCCUAAGCCUAGGUGUUGCCGUCAGCUUGGUCCAGGUCUGAUAUCUUGAUAGAGGGUUUUCUCAAGUCUUGGACGAACAUGCCGACCGGGACUUGGGCACGUUUCGAACCGAGCUUGGAUAGGACAUCGGCGGCGACGUUGUGCUCCCUAGAGACGUGAUGGAACUCGAGACCGUCAAAGUGAGCCUCGAGUUUGCGGAAGUUGGCGCAAUAGCUGUCCAUGAUUUCCUUGGUGCACUCCCAGGACUUGUUGACCUGCUCGAUCACAACCUUGGAGUCACCAAAUGCGAGGAUGCACUUAAUGCGAGCGAGGAAACGAUGCGGAGCCCGUGUAUGAGGGCCUCAUACUCGGCGCCAUUGUUGGUAGCGUUGUAGUGGAUCUAGAGGAUGUACUUGAGCUGCUCACCUUUCGGGGAUAUGAAGAGGACCCCCGUGCUAUCUCCUUCGAGGUUGAGGGCGCCGUUGAAGUACAUCGUCCAGUUCUCUAGCCUCUCCAGGGAGGGCGGCUCUUGGAUCUCAAUCCAUUUAGCGAUGAAGUCGGCCAAGAUCUGGGACUUGAUCGCAUGACGUGGGCAGAAGUCGACAUCAAAUUCCCCGAGUUCCAAUUACCAUUUGACUACUCGGCCGUGGAUGUCCCUGUUGUGCAGGAUUUCGCCGAUCGGGUAGGAGGAGACCACUCAGAUCUUGUGCACUUGAAAGUAGUGACGCGAUUCAAGGGAGGUGACCAGGAUUGCAUAGAGAAAUUUCCAAACCUCCGUGUAGUGGAUCUUGGAGUCACUUAGGACCUUGCAAACAUAAUAUACUGGCCUUUGCACCAUGAGGACGUGACCUGGUCCUUCGCGUUCUACAACUAACACCGUGCUCACAACAUGUGUUGUCGCGGGGAUGUAUAGCUGCAGCGUUUCUUGGUCGACCAGGGCCAUAUGGACAGGAGGGGUGGAGAGGAAUGUUUUGAGUUCCUCAAGGGCCUUGCGGGCCUCAUCAUCCCACUCGAAUUUGCCCGCCUUCUUGAGCAUCUUGAAGAAGGAAAGUCCCUUUUCGCCAAGCUUGCUGAUGAAGCGGCUAAGGGCCACCAUCAAGCCUAUAAGCUUCAUGACGUCUUUCUUGCCGGCUAGCUGCACCAUGUUUCUUGGCGUCCACUUUGACAGGGUUAGCUUUGAUGCCAUGUUGGCUGACCAUGAAGCCCAGGAGCUUUCCAAACAGGACGCCGAAGAUGCAUUUUCCCGAGUUGAGUUUCAAGCGAUAGGCACGGAGGCUGUUGAAGGUUUGCGCAAGGUCGACGAUGAAGUUUUCUUCAUCUUUGGUCUUGACGACUAUGUCGUCAAUAUAGGCCCUUAUGUUUUUGCCAAGUUGUUUCACGACGCAACCCUAGAUUGCCUUCUGGUAGGUGGCACCUGCGUUUUUUAACCCAAAGGGCAUGGUGUUGUAGCAGUAGAUGUCGUAGGGUGUUGUGAACACAGUCCUAUCUUGGUCAGCGGGGUUGAGGGUGAUCUGGUGAUAGCUCGAGUAGCAAUUGAGGAAGCAUAGCAAGGUGCAAUCGGCUGUGGACUCCACGACAUGGUCGAUGCGAGAAAGAGGGAAGGGGUCUUUAGGGCAGUGCCUGUUGAGAUCGGUGUAGUCGAUACACAUUCUCCAUUCAUCAGUUUUCUUCUUUACAAGGACUGGAUUUGCUAACCAGUCAAGGUGCUUGCAUUCAUGGAUGAAAUUGGCAGCGAAGAGAUUAUUUACUUCCACCCUAAUGAACUCCUUGCGACCUUCAGCGUAAUGGCAAAGCUCCUGCUUGACCGGCCUUACUGUCUUGCUUAGCUCCAAGGAGUGCUCAGCCAGCUCCCGCGGGACACUGGGCAUAUCGGAUGGUUUCCACGCGAAUAUGUCCGAGUUGUCCCAAAGGAAACUAGUGAGCACAUCUUCCUAUUUGGGGGUCAGGCUGGCCCCGAUGAGGGCCGUCUUUGAGGGGUCUUCCAGGCCGAGGCUGAUCUUCUUAACUUGCGGGUUGGGCUUUAGCGGCAUGGGCAUCGGGUCCGCCUCUAGGAUCGUCAGCUGACUCUGGUCCACCUUCUUGGACUCGGCGAGCAUCAUGGUGGCAUUGGCUAAGUACUCCAGCAUCUUGGCAAGCUGCACAACUUCCGUGUCGCACUUGUAGGAUGUUUCAACAUCGCCGAAGAUGGAGAGGAUGCCGUUUGGAGCUAGCAUCUUGAGGAUGAGGUAGGUAUGGCUAUACCUGACAAUGGAUCGAAAUCCGUCCCUAACCCUGCUUCAACCCUCUAAUCAAAAUAGUUGGCCCAAUCCUUAUCCAACCCUUAAUUUAUUACUAGUGCUUGAUCCAAUUCAAUCCUUUAAGAAACAGUACAUUGAUCCAACCAUGAUCCUUUAUUUGCCCACGGGCCAAUAGAAGCAUAACGAUCCGUGGGCUCUAAUUAGUACAAGCAAGCAAGCAAGCAAAGAUGAUCUGUGAGCUCUAAUUAGUAUAAACAAGCAAGCUAGCAAGUGAUGCAUUACACAGUACACGUUGAGCAAAGAGGAUCCGUGGGUUCGUUCUGUACUAGCUGUUCGACGAGCAUAGACACAGUACAUGUUGAACAGGUUCGUUCUGUACUGAACUCGUUGAACAUGUUCAACAGGAACAUUUAGCCUUACACAUUCAACUGCUAAAAGAAAGCAAGUGUCAAGCGACUGGAACUUUGCGGCAGGCGCUGAGCACAUCGUCCAUAGGAGCAUGGUCGCCGGUGCCUUCGUCUCUCCAUGAGUACAGCAGCUCCUUCCCUCUGAACACGAACAUCCCACUCUGGAGACAGAAACGAGAAACCAUAAGCGGACAAGAAUCUUCAGAGUUCAGGUAAAAUAAGGUAGCUUUAGGACAUCAAGUAUAAACAGCAAAAGACAUUGUCAAGCAUGCAUGAAUGGAUGUAUCUAGAUCAAGGAGUGCACAAGACAAUCAGAAACAUUUGUCCAAUUCCAGCGCAUAAAACAGCAAAGACGUUAUGUAAAUUGAUUAAAUUGAAAUACAAUUGGCCAAAUACAACAGCCUAGUGUAAGACCCAUUUACCUUUAUUCAUCAUCUUCAUCUUCCUCGUCUGAAUCAAACAUUCUAUGACCGGUCAUUGGUUCACCUUCUUCUUCUUCAUCAAACCCGAUUAGCCAAUCUUUUGCACAUAUCAAUGCUUCAAGCGUUUCAGGUGAGAGAGAUGUCUUAUUUUUUCCAAGAAUCCUUCCAGCUGCACUAAAGGCUGAUUCUGAGGAUACUGUGCUAAUAGGAAUAGCAAGAAAAUCUCUAGCCAUCAAGGAUAAGAUUUGAUAAGCAUCACAAUUCUUCUUCCACCAUGCAAAAACAUUGAAUUGCUCAUCUGACCUCACAAGGACUCUAUGGUCCUCUAGGUAAGUAUCCAGCUCUGACCGUUCUUGAUGGGCCUGCGAGCUUUGGGAUGCAAACUGAGCGAAUGCAAGCUCUACACGCCUUUUACUAGAAACUUGUCUUAAAGAAGUGCUACCAGACUCGCCAAACUCACUUGUGCUCUGCUCAUCAUUUGUUAUAUCGAACACAAGUACACUGUUGCUCCUAACAAUCUUUUCAUACUCUAGGUAAUAUUUCUUCAAAUACCUAUUCAGCUCCCUCAUUUUCACUUCAACAUUUUCACCAAUGGUAUAGAAAUAGAACUUGAUGAAGUCAGUUUUCAUACUUGGAUCAAGAACAGCAGCUAUUAGAAGAGCAAGAUUAGGUUUUGUCCAGUGCUUUUCAAACUUUGCAUGCAUGGCAUUAGCUAUUUCAUUAAGGAGCUCAUUUGAAUUCCAGGCCUCAACAAGCAAAACAUCUCGGAUUGCUAGCAACAUCUUCAAGAAAAGGUGGGCUGUAGGAUGCCUAUCUGCGGAGAAUGCUUUAGUUGCCUCACUAAACUGUUGCAAAAAUCCAUGAAGGGAUUCAGCUUUUGCCCAUAUUCAUCUUCACUUGGAACUUGGUGAUGUUGCUCUACCACAUAUCUAUUCAGUGCCACCUUAUAUUUCAAAGCAUCAUGCAACAUAUCAUACGUAGCAUUCCAACGGUGCGGAACAUCCAGAAUCAGUCCUGACUUUGCUUUGAGGCCUGAAUUCUGCACAAUUGUGUUGAAAAUCUGCAUGUCGGGAUGGUGUGGAUGUAACAACUUUUACAAUGUCCCUCACUCUCCCAAUUGCAUUUGAAAUUACCUUCACACCAACCUGAAUCAUGAUGUUGAGCACAUGGGCAGCACACUUGACAUGAAGGUGUUCACCUUUGAAGAACAUCCCAACACCUAAAGCAUCACGAAUGUCCUUUACUGCUUUGUUAUUCACACUAGCAUUGUCUAAUGUCAAGGUAAUUCCAUCUUGUACCGCGUAUGAUGUAUGUGGGAAAGAAAUAUUUUUGAAUGCUAUGAUUUUCUUAUGCAGUUCAAACUCUGCAUCAAUGAGAUGUGCUAUAACACCUAGAUAGCCUAGGUUCUAGUUAGAAGACCAUAGAUCGGUUGUAAGACUAACAUGGGACUUCACCUUUCUGAACUUGUCCAUCAUCUGCAACUUCUCCUCUUCAUAAAAUAAAACACAAUCUGUGCGUACACCUUGACGACCAACAACUCUAAAAGAUGGCUAAUAAUAAUUUAUCAGGUUUAUCCAAUGAGGAUCAUCAGCUUUAUGGAAAGCAAUCUCUGCACUGAUAAAAUAUUUGGCAAUCAAAACACGAAAUACUUCUGGAUCAAAGACACCCAUUUCCUCGUUCAGAAACUUUGGCUUCAAUGUUGCAAUGAAUCUGUCCCUAUCCUCUUGCGGAAUGGAAUGACAGUGAAUUGCAAUGUGUCUGUUGAGGUGCAUUGUACCUUUUCCAGGUUCAGAGGACAAUUGAAACUUAAAGUAUCUGCAUAUUGCCUUCUCCUUGCCAUCAACCACUUCGGUAUCCACAAAUUCCCAAACUUUAGCUCUCUUUCUAGAUGAUCGACUUGACUGGUCAGUUACCAGACUAUCACGACUUUCAACCUCAACCACAACUUCCUGUCCUAUAUCCAUAUCACCUAGAUGAUACAAAUGCAAUUUCAAUAUAAGAUAACAAAAGGAAUCACAAUUGUUGCAAUAAAAAAUUAAAACUACUGAACAUAUAUCACGAAAAUAUGAGCCUAUGACUAUGACUAAAGCAUAUAAGCUAUACUUACAAUUGUUGUUUAUAUAGAGUUAUAUCUUCAUGGUAGUUUAUUUACAAUUUUAACUUGGUCAAUCUAUCGGUACAUUUUUAAAUACUGUCGAAACUCAAAAGUGCAACAUUCAUUCAAACAGGCACAUGCCAUCCUAACCUAGGGAUGUGAUUGACACACAUGUAGUUGAAACAGCACACAGAAGAGAUGAACUAGCAUGGCAACCACGGCGACAUCAAAAUACACCAACUAAAAGUAUGCUUUCGAUGCUAGCAGCAAUGCAACGUAGGGUAAAGGUAAGAGCAUUACCGCUCAUAGCAAGCCACACCAGCAAACCUGCAGAUUGAGAAAAGGAAUCGGCUAACCUACAGAUUGGAAAGAAUCGGCUAGAUUAGAGACCUGCAAAUACCAGGGGAGGAAUAGGCUAACCUGCGAAUACUAGGCUGUGCAAUACCAGGCGGAGCUGGACUAGUGCGGCCGAGGCUCGCGCGGAGGAGGCCCCUCCUCACUGGAUCUUGGAGCCAGCCCCUCAGCGACGAUCUUGGAGUCGGCACCUCAGUGAGGAUCUUGGAGUCGCAGGCCGCCACCCCGCGACGUGACCGCUGGCCUCUCGCAGCGCCGCCACCGCCGCUCGCGAGCCGUCUCGUGUAGGUGCUUGUGCGCUACGUUUAAGGCCCUCUUUGUAUUUCUGCGAGCCUGAUACGUUAAGGCCCUUAUCUGAUCUGCGGGUUACGAUCCACACGUUGAGCUCGAGCCACAGCUACAAUUCAGCCCUUUUAACAAGCAGUCCGAUUCGAUUCGGCCCUUCUCUACAGGAGCCCAUAUAGCAUCUGUAAAUCACAGCCCAUGAGUUUGGAGGCCCUUAUGUCCCUUGGAUAUACAAGGCCCAUUACCAGGAGUAGGUAUGGCUGGGGAUCAUCAUGAACCUCGGCAGCAUUGGCCUGCCAAAGAUGGCAUGGUAGAAGGUCUUAAAAUUGGCAACCUCGAAGCUGAGGUGCUCGGUGUGGUAGUUGUUGGGGGUGCCGAACUAUGACAUCCCUAGUGUUAAAAGAACAAAACAAGAGAAAUUACAAAGGAAAUCAGAAACAAAUCAAAGUUGCCAAGUGUCAAAAUUCAAAAACCUUUCAAAUUCUUAUUUGGGUAGGAUUUUAAAAACAAAAUUUUAUAUAAGAACUCAACUUUUUUCCAAUAUAAAAGUUGUAGAACUUUUCAAAUUAAAAAACUUUCUUGUCUGAUUCUGAGUGGAAGGCAUUCAAAAAUUGGGUCAAAGUUGGAUCAAAUUCAAGCCAAAUUCAAAUCAACUUUGCCCAGCGUUCCACCAAAGUUUCGACGAGUUUAUCUCCAAAUAUGUUGUGUCUUUCACCCAUUAGCCUUUGUAGAAGUUGUAGUCUAUAGUUCAAACUCCAACUUCUAUAUUUGAACUUUUCAAAGUUUGGUUUAAAAUUUUGGAGUAAAAUCGCCUGAAAGGUGCUGCCCUUGCGCGCCACGUGCAACCCCACGUGCGUCCGGAUCGCGGUGAUCGCGCACGGCGUGUGCGCCGACGCCACGUCGCGCCGCCCGGCUGGCCACUCGCCGUCACCCAACCGCCACCGGUGCCAAUACCGCACGAGCCCGGCCUUCGCCCGCUCAGCGUGCCAUGCAAUCCUUCCCUCCGCAUGCCUUAUCUCACCUAGCCAACCUCGGGGUGCGGGCCACGCACGCGCAAGCUCCAUACGCCACCAGCAGCCACUCGCACGCUGCCUCCGCCUGCCGCCUCUGCCCGACCGCCUCCGGCCUGCCCAAUGUGCCACGAGCUUGUCAUGGGUGUCGUCUUAUCCUCCCGCCAUUUUGCCGCUAUAAAAGGGCAAUGCCUAGCUCGCCGGUGCCACCCUUUCACCCCCGCACCAAAGCUCGCCACAUCGCCUUUGACACCCACUAUCGAGCUCCUACCUCCGAGCCACACCGCCGCCACCGGAGCCACAUGCCACCUUCCCGAGCCCUUCCCUAGCUAUCUCCGUCGCCGCCUUCGCCGGAGACUAAGCUCCCACGACUACGCCGCCACUGCCACAUGCAGCACCGCCGUCGGACCUCCUCCGCCCUCGACCCCCACAGCCCGAUGACCACCGGUGAGCCCCUCGUCGCACCCGUGCCCUUAGCUCGCACCCACCUCACCAGAGUCCGCUGAAAUUUCACCGCCGCGCCGCCGGCUAGACCCCCAAAGGACCACAUUGCAAAGCCAAAACUAGUUCUAGGGACUUAGGCGUAAAACAUAGGGGCCUUGCUGUAAAGCUUCAAAAGAUUUAAGGGUCUGGUCGUAAAACGUGCUUCCUUUUUCGGUUUAAAUUUGAUUUAAACGGUGAAACUUGGAAAAUGCAUAGGAAAUGGUAGAAAAAAUGGGGAAAAUCUGAAACUUGUUUUGCUAGGUUCCUGAUGAUGCCUAGUUUAAUUUAAAAAAUAUUCAUGUGCAUAUAACUGUCCUAUAUCUGGUGUUAGAAUUUAUUUUGUACAAAAGCUAUUAAAUGCUUAAUAAAUCAUAGGAUGCUCUAAAAAAUGUGAAACCACUUUUGUUAGCUUCCUUUUCACAUGCAUGUUCUAGAUCUGCAACUUUCUUAAUGGAAUCCAUGAUGCUCAUACUGUUUUACAUUCAAAUGCUUAAUUGUUGUUUUAAUAAGUUAAUAGCAUGGUAAUUAGUGGAAAGUAGAUAAAAAUGCAAGAUAAAUUUUGUUAGAUUCCUGAUGUACAUGUCUGACUAGUAAAAAUACUUGUUCCUGUAAAAUAUGUGUUUUCCAUUGCAUAAUGAAAUACAUGUUGUUUAAUCUCCUUUUUAUGUGCUAAAUAGUUUUUUCAUGCUUAUAAAACCCUGAAAAAUUUAAAGUAGCAUAUGUUACUAUUGGUAAUAUUUCUGUAAAAUUUGUGGAAUCAAACUGAUGAUAGGACUCUAGUUAAAAAAUCAUUCUUCAUGUUCUACAAUUUAAUACAGUUUGGUUUUUAAUAAGUUCUGUAGAUGUCAAAUGCAUUUCAAAUUUUUAGAGUAGAUCACUUGUAUAGAGGAAAAGCUUCUAUAAAACUUUCAUGUUCAUAUCUUAGCAGAUGCUUCCAGAAACAUUUAUUCAUGUUUAAGAGCUAGUUUAUUUAUUAAUAAAAAUUGCUACUAGAAAUGGUAGACUAGCAAAAUGAUUAAUUAUGUUUUUAUUCAGAAACAGGAUCACUUUUGAAAUGAUUGCCAAAUAGUACCAACAUGACACCACCUUUCUUUUAUGAAUUCUAAGUUGUUAGAAUCUUAUAUGUGUACACAAUCACCAUCAAAGUAAAACCUAGGUCUUAAUCACAACCCAUCUUGUUUUGCGAAGAAAAGAUUUGUUAAAGUCUUGUCUAGGUGAAUGUGGACAAAAAGAAAGAAAGGGUUAAAACCUUGUCUAGGUGAAUGUGGUCGAAAAUGCAACCACGAAAUGCAACCUACACCAUGAAAGCGUGUAAUUGAAAUCUUAUGCAUAUGCAUAUCGUGUACAAGCUAAUCUCGCUGACGGUACGUACGAGUUGGUUUCGGAAGCUUAAGAGGAACACUCGACUGCUGUGGUGAACCUGAUCGAGGCCACACAAGACCCGAGCGAAGCUUCAGAAGAGCCAUAGGCUAGCGUAGUACAAGAAAGCAAGCCACGAAGCAUAACCUUGGUUUCUAAAAUUAUGCAAUACUUUUGUUACUUAUGUUUAUGCAUUAAGUUCAUAGGAGUUGCUUGAAAUCUUAGUUGCAUGCUCCUGGUAUCCAUGUGUUGAAUACUAGCAUGAUAAGUUGAGUAGUUGCUAUGCUAAAUAGGCACACAGCAAAAGUCGAGUGAUUUCCUAUCACUCGCGAGCAAUAGGAGUUCCUUGUUUACUUAAGUUGGAAUCAUAAGGUUGAUGGGCGGGGCUUGGUAAUAUAUUUUGUAAUUGGUGGAUGCCCCAUCUGUUUAGAGGAAAAUUGCAAAGGUCAAAAUGUGUUAGAGUUGUGGUCAAGUGUUUAAAAGUACUAAACACAUACCGAGUAUGGGAUCGGGAAGCCUUGUACCUGAUUGAACCGAGGUGUGGACAUACUCCCUGCUCUCUCUAGAACCAGGUUCCCCUGAUGCAUCAUGUGGGUAUAAGUGCAGCCUCGGUACGGCGUAGUUCCGGGACUGGUGGGGCCUUAUAUCCAAGGGAAGUGGGCCCUGGUCACGUGCCGGGGAUCGAUGGAAAUGGCUGCAUAUGUGAACCCAGCAUGGUACGCAUAUGUCAUGUGUUUAGGUCCAUCUUACAAGGUUAAGAAAUUCGAUUUGAACCGUCUGCUUCUCACAGUUUGGGAUUGCUUGAUCGCCUUUCGGCACUGAGUAAGAAGAGGAACAAGGAUGAUGAUCAAUAUUGAUGCUUGAUUAAUUUGCUUGUUUCACCAUGCUUUCUUAGAAUAAGUGUUUACCUAGAAUCGUUAAUCAACUAGAACUUGGUGCUAAAACUUGAAAGUAACGAUCCAGUUUAGAAGCUUUUGGCAAAACAAACCCCUCAGCCAAAAAGCCUCGUGCGAGCUUUGUAUACUUGUUUCGAUCAGAAACACAUGGUUGUAUCAAGUGAAACCAGACAGACUACCAUUUUAAUUCGAUUAAAGUGUUUAUUCGCAUUUGAUGUUGAGAACACUUUAUCCGGGUUAAUUCGGAUGGUUCUGCCACACGAACGUGACCGGUAGGAUGACUCUCCCGAUAGGAUAGGAUCCUUUGCUAGGUACUAUGCCGUAGAACGGGUCUUCGCAGGGAAGGAGCCGCUCAAAGUUGAAGUCCAUGCGCUUCAAGGUCUUGAUGAAGAUGAUGUUGAGGUCGUUGCCACCAUCAAUCAGCACCUUGGAGAGGAGGACUCUAUCAAUGGUGGGGCACACCACCAAAGGGUAAGACCCGCGGUCUGGGAUGUGCACCCAGUGAUCUUUCUUAGAGAAGGUUAUGGGUAUCUCCGACCAGCGCAGAUACUGGACUGGUGUGACGGAGACGAAGUGCAUUUCCCACCUUUGCAACUUGUGCUUGUAGUUACUUCAGAAAGCUUUAGGGCUGCCAAUGAUGAUGUUCCUUGCAGUAUUCAUUCCAGCAAGGUUGCUUGUAUUCCACUGGGGUGAAAAACUCUUUCUUGAGGACCAUGCUGUAACAUCCGCAAAAAUCACCAACUUAAAUCACCUGCUAAAAAUUAUUUUCAAAAUCUUGUUACCGUUGAGCUCUCGAAAAUCUAAUCUUCCUGGCGAUUUCGCCGUCCCGACACCCAAAGCCGACAACCAUCAUUGUUAUCCUCUCCGUAAAUUUUGCCGCGUGCCGGUUGACAAACCGCCGUGCGUGCUCCGACCGCAUUCCGCAAUCACCGCCGGCUCUCCCUUUCUUUUUCUCUUCUUCCUCCCAUUUCUUUUUUUCUUUUCUUUUUUCCUCCUCUUUCUUUCUUCCUUCUUCUUCUUCCUUCUUCUUCCUUCUUCCUUCUUCCUUCUUCCUUCUUCUUUCUCCCUCCUCCUUUCUUCCUGGCGCCCAGGACCACUCCCCUGGCGCCCAACCCCCUGGCGCUCGACCCCCGGCGUCCGGCCCUGCCUACGCGCCAGCCCCCGCUAGCCCUGGCCCCCCGCCUGCGCCCGGCCGGCGCGGUGUGCCUAGCCCAUCCUACCUCGUCAGCCGCGACGUGCGCCCGGCGCCGGUGCCGGCGCGCCUGCCGCGACGCCGCCCCCCCCCCAGCGCCCGUCCCCUACCGCACAGCACCGGGCCCCACCGGCCCCUCCCAUCGCCAACCCCUUCCUCGCCAGCCCGCCCGAGCUCGCCGGACCGGGGCCCCCAUGGCCGGAGGCUCGUCAUCUUCCUCCCUGCCAGCCUAUAAAAAGGGGGAGGGCGAUACCCCCAACUCACCACCCAACCUCCCGCCCAAGCCGCUAGCACCUCCCUCGCUCUCCCCAAGCACCGCCCGUAGCGUCGCCCUCACCCGUAGCGCCGCCCUCACCUGUGCGCUGCCGCCUCCUUACCCACUACUGGACGCCCCCUUCCCCAUCAUCAAAUCCCCAAGGUAAGGGGCAAAACGGAGCCCCCACGGCCUCCUCUACCCUCCCCCGCCGUUUCCCCUCGCCACUGGCGAGCCUAUGCCGCCGCCCCUAGGCCGGCCACCCCCUCCCUCUCUCUAUGUACCAUACGGUACAAAGGAGGAAGAAAACCCCCCAAUUUCGAUCUAACCCCCUACUUCUCUCUAUUCACGAAAUAACCCUCCCACCUCUCUCAUACUCCUUUCGCAGAUCAGCCCCUCCACCUCCCAAAAGUAUUUACAAAUAGGUCCUUGGUUUCUCGCGGUUUAGUCCUAAACCCUCUUUUAAGCCCCUAAUACUCCGUUAACUCGUCAUUUCAUGCGCCAAACUUCCUCCAAUUAAUCCCAAAUUUGACCACGUCAUCCUCCAGUAUACUUCCGUUGAGCCAUAUCCAAAUUUCAUGAAAAUACUCAUCCCUUCUAUUUUCCGUUCGUGUUCUCUGUUCGGAGCUCGACGGGUAAAAUCUUAUUUUCUUUUUAUUUAUUGUGUGCUCAUUUGUGUGUGCCGUAGAUCGUGGAGUACCCGAGGAGGAGCACGAGGAGGAGUUUGACCGUGAGCCUGAGCUCGAGGACCAGCACCGCGAGCAGGAACUCCAGGAAGGCUUUGAGGACAACAAGUCCAAUCUCACCCUUUGAUGCAUAUUUAUUCCUAGUUUUUCAAACACAAUCUGUUGGCUUGUUUAUAAAAUUGCAUAUUAUUUUUCUGCUGAAACAUGGUUGGAUAGCCACCCCUUGAUUGCUAUGAAUAUUCCUUAAUUGUCCUAUAAUUAUCUUUAAAUAUGAUUUGCUCUGUUUGGAUGAUAAUUACUGCUAGAAUGCUUAGGACCUUGUUACUCAAUUCAAUCAUGACCACAAUGUGUUUUGUUAAAGAAUAAAUGUGUGAGUGUUUUAAAAAGGGAAGUUGGUUUUUCGGGAGUAAAGGAAAGAAAUGCUCAGAAGAGAUGGAUGGGCGUUUCAUGUGCGGAAUGCCAACAUGUUGGGCUCGUACCUUGGUGGUUGAGCAAGGUUUGGAGAUAUACAUCUUGUCAUGGUUAAGGACCGAGUUGAUGUGUCAUAUUGCAUAACUCAACUAUCGUGCAACCACUCAACCGUUGUAUGGGCGACGGCUUAGCAUAAAUCCCACUAGCUAAACUAUUAGUCUUUGGGUGAGCUGGUGAGCAACGGGAGCCCAUGGAAAAGGAGUAAGAUCUUUGUGAUUUAGGUCCCGGCUAAGACCUCAUUGGUAGGUCAUUAACCCCUUGGUCACUUUCGUGUGGACUAGUCAGUCUUAGCUAAGGUGGGUAAUGGCUUUGUUAGGAUCCGCAUCGGCACUAAGGUGAUCGUGCUGCGGUACCCUACUUGUGGGAAAAGUGUACAACCUCUGCAUAGUUAAAACCUAUCCGGGUAGCCGUGUCCAUGGCAUUGGACGAGUUAUGGCUUGGUCACAUAACUAGUACUUGGGGUGGUACAAUUUUUAUGGCGUGUGUUGGAUUUUGGAAAUGUCCAGCAGUUGUGCCAUAGGCUAUGGCGGACGGGGAGUUCGAUAGCAAUAAAAUUUGGAUCCUUUGUGUAGGAUCAACCCCACUUAAUAUUUCUGUUACUAAAGCAAAUGCCUUGCGAAAACUCUUUUGAAAAUGAACCCUUGCAUGUGUUGAAAAUCUAGCUUUAUUGCAAAUGAACCUUAAACACAUCCUUGUUAUACCCUGGCAUACUCUUGCUUGUAUCCCCUCCGUGGAUGGGGUUGGACUUGUUGAGUACUUCUGUACUCACCCUUGUUUCGUUGCUACAGAGGAAGACCCGGACUUCGUCGCCGAGGAUUUUGAGUAGGAGGUCGUGUCCGCACCCAACGCUGCCUGUGGUGUUGGCCUUCGCAAAAUACUGCUGCUGCCGUGUAGUCCCGAGUGCUGUCUUUUGGCAGUCGCUUGGCUCGCUGCUGUUAUUUAUUUGCUUAUUAUCGCGGUGUGGCUUUCACGCCCACUCCCUCGAGAGUUGUACGUUAUUUGAACUAUCUGUUGAAUAAAUGUGUUAUCAGCCUCCUGGCACUGAUAUUUGAAUCACAUUUAGUCUCCGCUGAUGUGGGGACGCUUCAUAUGCAGUCCCAAAGAUUGUGGUGUGCGUCCUUGUGGAAGGGGCAUAGGGCGUUCAACAUAUCGUCAAACUCCUCCUGGAGGAAGGUUGUCUGCCUCGCAGGGUCAACUUUGGCGGUGAGGACCUUAGGGGCCCUCUUCCGAGGUCUGGACAGCUCCAGCCUGGACUGGUGCUUGUGGUCUUGGUGGGUCAGCGGUUUGUAGUCAUCAUUGUGGAGGUGCUUGCCAUCCUGGAAUUGGACGUUCUUGGCCUCAUCUAUGUUGACGUGAAGGUUGACGAUCUGCAUCAUGUGUCCGACCAUCUUGGGAGCAGCCUGGAACAUGGUGCAGAACAUCGAGCGGUUCUUGAGGUUGGUGCGGAAGUACCAAAUGAUGUCACGGUCUUCAAUGCUGGCCAGCCUAUUGCGGUUGUCGAAGAAGUGGUUAACGUACUCACGAAGAGUUUUGUUCUUCUGCUGGCGGGCUUGGCCGAGGUUUUUCGUGUUUCCGGGUCAGGUGUAAGUAGCCUGAUAGUUCUGGGUGAAGGCUCUGGCGAGCUGAACCCAAGUGUCGAUGCAGCCUCGUGGGAGGUUCUCAAGCUAUAGGAGAGGUGCACUUUCCAACACCACCGGGAAGUAGGUGGCCAUCUGGCCAUAGGUGCCAUUCGCAGCCUUGACCAUAGUGCAGGACAUCUUCAGCCAGAUCACCGGGUUGGAACGACCAUCGUACUUCUCGUUGGUGGCUGGCUUGAAGGUGGGUGGCCACUGGAUAGCCCUGAGGCGAGGAGUGAACGCGGCGAACCCGUCGAUGUCCAUGUUGUCAUCUUCCAUGAGGCGGUAUUGUACUGGCGGGGCCCUAGGACGUGCACCGUAGUCAUGCUAGGGUGGAUUGUAGGCAUCGCCUGGGGCGUUGUAGCGACGAUCGUACUUGUCAUGGCGGCGUAGCUCCUCCCAGCGGUUGCGGGCCUCCCGCUCCAUGUUGCAAUGUGACUGGUUGUAGACCCCUAAAGCACCAAAGUCACAGUCGUACUAGGCGUGCUGGCAGAAAUCCGCCUCAUCCCGCUCUUGGCGAUGGUUGUUGAGCUCACCACAGAGGUCGUGGCGGUCGUGGAGGUUGUCAUGGAGGUCGCGGUCAGGUUGCCGACCUGGUCGGCCGCGGCAUUCACCGUCUCAUUAUCCAUCACAGUGGUGGUUAUCUGGUUGGCCAUCAUCGCCGUCGGGGUGGUGGUCAUUGCUUUGGGAUUGGUCCACCUCCUCCUCCUGAAUGGGUACCAGCCGACCUCCCCUGCGGUGGCUGUGAUCGGCUCGGUUGCGACCGGAUCUACUCUAGGUAGAUCAGCUUCGGGAGUGCCGGGUAGAUGUAGAUCUAGAGUGCCAAGAUCAGCUUCUUGAGGGUUCUAGGGCCUAGGCUCUUUCCUCGAUCUGGGCAUUGGCAACACGGAUGUGCGCCCGGAUCCACUGCAAUUGCUUCGAGUCUGGAAGAUUUUCAAGAUCAUGAAAAAUAGCCCCUAGGUUGGCUUGGGGUGUGGCAAAGACAUCAUGACCGGCCUGCUCGAGGUAUCCCUACAGAUUGCGACCACAUAAGGGACGCCUGCGUUGACCUCCAACGUCGUCCUGUCCACCAUUGAUGGUGCCGUUGGGUGUCGGCGGAACGAGCGGUGCGCCGGCCGCUGCGGGGGCGGUGGGCGGCUGACGAACGUGCUCGGCUCAUUCCUGUUGGCGGCACCUGACGCGGUCCCAGUUCCUCUCAUUGCGCUCUUCCUCUUGGGAGGAAGUUUCACCAUCACGAGGAGGUUCGUCGGCGGAGACAGUGAAGACUUCCCGAUCUUGUGAUGUAGAGCUUCCAUCAUCACCCUCAUCGUAAGAGUUUGGGAUUAAGGUGAAGCAAGGGAGCUGGAACUCAACAUAGUCUGGAAACUGGGUGGGUUCGGGUGGGUCGUCAGAUUGGAUCUAGAAAGACUGCAUGAGUUUUUCAAAAAAUACGGCAGCCGAGUUCUUGAUGCCAAAAGGGGCGCGGGAAGAGCCCUACACCGACCUUCCGGGGCGUAGUGCCGCCUUAGAGAGGUUCAUGCACUCAGCUAUGGUGUUGUUGAUGCGAUCGAGCCCUGCGAUUAGAUCGAAGGCUAUGGUUGGGUAGGUUGCCAUGAGGAUGUGUGGGGCCCUCUCUAAGAGAGAGAGUGACGGGUCCAUAGACCCAGGGUCCCCAACGAGACUGCAUUCCCGUGACACUUGGCCCAACGAAGAGCGCAGCAACAACGUACACCUAGGCCGGCCCGGCUACACGUAGCCCGGCCAAGGCCCCGAUCCGGCCACCAACCAAUACUUCCAACAAGGAAGCCUAUUCGGCACCCCGAUCGGAAGGAGCUAGUCAGGACUGGGGCCACAAUCCAACCCCAACUAAGUUCUCCCGACUGGGUCCUCGGUGUGGGCCUAGGGAGCAGGAAUAACGAGGAAGCGCCCAGGUCACCUGGCCGUACGCAGAACCGUACCGCGCCAUGCCCUGCGGAUGCCUUGCGCAGUGCCACCAUAAACCCACUCACUACGACGGAGUGGCCUGACGAGGAGAACAAGGAUCGAGGACGGAGACCAUACCAUACACGACGACAUGGGCCGCGACAAGACUAGGCAGCACCCGCACGCACUCUCUCUUCCUCUCUGACUUGUAAGGUCGUCCCCUUGUACUAUAAAAGGGGACGGGCCCUCCCCGUGUGAAAGGGGCUCACUCCCUCUCAGGCUUCAUCACUUCCACAUACUCUGAUUCCCUCCAACACAUAGCGUACGUCUGAGCUCCUGCCACUCUCUUCCACUAAGACGAGAACAAGGCCAGGACUCAGGCACCCCCUCUCAUCCUCCUCUCAUUUGUACCCCCACUACAAACUUUGAGCACCUAGGCUCAGGAAUAAAGUUGAUAGACUUACCUCGACUGGACAUAGGGCGCGUUGCCUGAACCAGUAUACAUCCUAUGUCAUUGUGUGCUAGGCCAUAUACGAUCUAAUGCACGGUAAAACUACAAAUAUUUACUUGUUGGCCAGAUUUCACACCAACAGAGAGAGAUCACCGACCUGCUGGGCAAGCGGCAUGAUGAUCCUCGGGUGAAGAACUUUCUCUGUUGAACCAGAUCCGACGGAUGUCGAGCUGGCGGUGGAUGCCGAGUCGGCGAAGGAGGCGGUGGAGUCGGAGUCCACCGGCAAGCUCCUGAAGCGGAGCUGGAUCAGAUGGCGACGAAGUCCUUCAUGCUCUCGAGGAAGAUGAUGUCUGGCCGGGAUGACAUCGAGCUCAAUGGGAGGAUCUCACGAUCACUCCUACCUGGUGCACCAAAUGUCAGAUUUACUGACCGGCAGACCACCAGGGGGUUACCCAGGUGGUAGAUUUGUAGGCAGGAGAAAUUGUGAGACCAAGAACUCGAAGGUAAAACAGGGGCGUAGGGUUUAGACAAGUUCAGACCUCCAGAGAGUAAUACUUUAUGUCUUGUAUUCUGGUGGAUUAUAUUGAUGAUCGUAGAUGCGAAGAGUUAACGUGAGGUGGAAUGAGUUGAGUUGCGUUGCAUUACCCUCGAGGGGCCCCUUGCCGCCUUAUAUAGGCUGACAACCUAAGGUUACAAUCAUAUAGGAUCUAAUCCUAGGUUGUUGUUACAUGGAAAGAUAUCUGAGUCGGUUUACAACAAAAAUCCCGUGAUAUCCAGGCUAAAUUGAUUCGCCCAGCCUCCUGGCUUGUGCUCCAUGCAUCUUCAUGCCUUGGCUCUUACGGCAUGGUCGGGCGGGCCCACUUGACAGGGCCAACCAUUAUCCUGGUCGAUGGGGACCUAUGGGUACCCUUAUCCCUCAAGGUCCUUCCACAAGUUGAUGGAGUUCUUGUCCAACGAUUCAAGCCAUGUGAGUGGCACUGCCUCCAUGCAGAUGGGAAAGUAGACAACUUUGGUGUUGACGUUUCCGCCAGCUGAUUGUACUGACAACAAAUAGCACUGGAGCCAUUGGACUGGGCCUUGCUUGCCGUCGUACUUGGUGAUGCCUGAGGGUUUGAACUUUUUGGGUAGAAUUAUCCUCCUCACGCAUCUGGAGAAGGUAGGGAUCCCGUCAGUAUCAUCCCCUAGGUAUUCGACUUCUUGCUCGUGCUCAUGGUGCAGUACUUCAAUGAUGCGGUGUCACGGCUGGCAUUGAUCUUACUAUGAAGGUCUCCUACUGGGCGUUCAGGCUCUAGGGCACCCCCACGGUGGUCACGGCCUCCCGAGGUUCCUGCCCGACUACCUUAAGCUCCAACUUGACUUGGUCUGGCGCCUCCGAGUUGACUUGGUCUGGCACCUCCGACUUGGCUUGGUCUAAGCGGGGGGCUCUAUGGCUACUGCCAUGUUGACUUCGCUGGGAUGUAGAAUGUUGGAUUAACUAUAUCGGGUUCUGCUGAUAGAGUUGUUCGUACGCGAGUUCAGCCAGCUCGGCCAACUAUCGGCUAUAUUUAUUCUGGGGCAUUGCACGGUGAUGAGAUCUAUAGACGCGACGAUAGCUAGAGGAGUAUGAUGGUGACGUGUUUGAAAUGCUUCAAAGGCAUUAUCCAGAUUCUGGAUUGGUAGAUCUGGUGCGAGACGGCAACGGCGUUGUGCUCUUGAGGCGUUUCUUGCUCGUCGUCGAGUUCUUUGAGCUUUAGUUUCUUCUUCGGCAACAUCGACGGUUCGCUCAUCUUGCAAGACGUCAUCUGGGUGAUGUUCGUGGUGUUGGUUCCUAUCCCGUCGCUCUUCUUCUUCAUCUUCUUGUCCAACAAUGAUGGCGAAGAGUUCUAAUUCUAGUGGGAAACCUUCUGAGCUGCAGGUGAUGACUUCUAUGGUGCCUCCCUCUUCGUAGAUGGGAGACAAAGGAGCUCCCUCCUGGUCUGGGAGAAUGUCGAGGUAGGCAAUGAGGCAUGAGUCAUCGUCCUUGGAAAAAGUAGGAGGCUUCAUGUUUGGCCAGUAGAUGAAUCUGCCUUCUAGAGUUGAUGUGAUUACCAGGCCCUGCUGCAGGCCUGAUAAAGGGGUAUCCUCGUCUGGAUCCGAGUAGUAGUUGAGCUCCUUGAUCCCAUCUGUAUCGGAUUGGAAUCUAAACAAGGCUGCCUAAUAGAUAGUGGCCGUGUUGCGAAGUCUGAAUGGGAAUCGACUCUAGGAGUAGUCCAACUCGCAUGAUGGCUUAUGCACCAACUCGUGCGAAUCAAUCUGACUGGCAGGAAAAGUCAAGUUGUACUUGGACUCAUCCCCCCAGCCUCUGACUAGGUCAAAAAUUGAAAAUCCAUUGAAAUUCUCGACAAGAUCCUCCAGAGCUUGGCGUUGGAGCUUCAUGGCUUGUUGCUUCACCUUCGGGGCCGGCGCAAUGUGGCGGUAGAAAUUUCCAGCGCCGUCUGCGGUGCAAACCCAGGAGCUAAACACGAACGCUACACCUACUUCGAACACAACAAUUGGCUUGAUGAUGACUUGUGCCAUCGAGUUUGCUAGUGGAUUCUUGGCGAGAUCCCCUACGUGGCGCGCCAGCAGUCGGUAUUUAGACCCGACAACCUACCAAGGGGGGUGCCCGAGGUAGUGUUUUGGUUGGUGGAGCUUGUCGAGAUUAGAAACUCAAAGGUAAACGUAGACACACGAUUUAGACAGGUUCAGGCCGCUAGAUUGUGUAAUACCCUACAUCCUGUGUGUUGGUUGGAUUGAAUUGCUUUGGCGGGGGUUCCUACCUCAUCUUAUAUAGUCGGGGGUAGGAUUACAUGUCGGUUGGUUACAAGAAUACUAGUUGGAUAUGACUAGAAGAAUUCUACUCUAUUACAAUGAGUACUUUCCUAAUCCUCAACUAGUUCCAGUCUUUCCAUGUAGACUAUGCCGCCAUGCGCCAUGGUCUCCAUGUCAAAUGCAUCCCGGUGUCCAACCCCAUAUCUCGGACUGUCCAAACCUUCUGGUGGGCCCAUAGAUGUAUGUACGACACCAUAGUUAAGAAAAUUAGAGUUUCUCCUAUUAAGCCCAUGAUUGCUUAGUGGUUAGAACAUUUCAAGAUGACUGGUCUUAUUGAGUCCACCUCUUUAAUUACUCGCAUUGCUUCAAAAAUUGGGGCAUUAGAUGGCAUACCUGUUCCGUUUAUUCAAAUGCCCCGCUCUAUCAUUGAUGAAGCAUAUCUUAUUCAAGGUUACACUCUUAAGCAUGAUGAAAACCAGUCUCUUGUAUUCUUCUUCCCCGGCUAUACAAAUGAGAUCACGUUACCUAACCCGAGACUUUAUUUGUAUAAGUGUUGGGAGCUAACCCUUCCUCUUGCACCACAAGAGGAAGCUCACAGGAGUAAUGUCUCUGGCAGGGUAACUCGGAGCAGGUCCAGGAAUGAAGCCACUACCUCACAGUACCAGCCCCCGCAGUCCCAGCAUGUCAUGCAGCAGAUGUACCAGGCAGGAUGGGUUCCAGCUGGGUAGACGCCAGGGUUUGCACCCGGGUACCAGCCAGGUUCAGACCAACCUCCACAGCCGCUUGGAGCUGGAGGCUCGGGCUAACAAAGUGCAAGCAGUGAGGAGUGGGUGCAAGGACCAUACGGACAUCACACUUCUUCCAGCUCCAGUGGUCUGCCCUCAAUGUUCGGUGCACGCCGAUCCUUCUCGACAAGCUGACAUGUGACCUCACGGACCUCAGCUGCCAGAUGAAUGACCUCGACAUUUGGAAAGGUGAAAUCCAAAACACUCUUAACACACAUGUCCAGGGUUUUGCUACAUGGCAGUAGGAGGUCGACACACAGUUCAACGCCAUCAACACCUCGCUACAACAAAGCCGCGACGACCUACAGGCCUACUUCCACUCCCAGGGGUACAACCCCCAUCCAGACCAGUGAGCAAGGAACAAGCUUGGGGGAGGAAACUCCCAAGAGAGGUAUCUUGUAUCUUGUAUCUUUUCAUUUCUUAUCUCUGCAUAUUAAAAAAAAGCUACAUAUGACAAAAAGAACAAAAAAUAUUUAUUUGCUUUCACAUGUGUAGUAAGAAUGUUUUAGUUCUUCCUUGUUGAGAUGAUGAAUAGUUGCUCUGCCCUAUUUCCUUCAUGUGCCUAGUUUACAACUUAGUAUUCUCCCAAGUUUUGAGUUAGUUGGCUGUCGUUCAUCCUAGAAACUUGAAUCUUGUGGGUUGCAAGUGCAUGAUCUAAGUCUAAGUUGUUGCAUAAUAUGAGAUGGUACAAUAGAGUUUGCUAUGAUCUUGUUCCAAGUGAAACUUAACAUCUGGAGUUUUAUUUUCAAAAUCAUAAAAAUAAUAAAGUUGCUCAAUGAUGAUGAUAUGUCCUACCAAAGCCAUAUGAUAUUACUUUGCACAACCUGUACACAUAUGCUGCUUGAUAUCACAUUGAGCAUUAUCAAAUUGUUGUGACCCUUAAGAGGUCCUCGUCAUGCUUUCAUGAUCAAGAUCACGUACACUCAACAUAUACUCAUGCUGACUUCCACACUAGAAGUUGCGCAAAAACAUGCCUUUCAUCCACAUAAAUAUACUCCAUCCCUAUGACAUGACCCCCCCUCUGUUCAUCAUGCAAAAAGAUAUGGUCUAUGCAAAAAGAAGAAAAAGAGAAAAGAAAUAAAAUCCAUGCUCAAAUAGCAUAAGGGAAAAAAAGAGAGAGGAGGAAAAGAAAAGAAGGAAAAAGAAAGAAGGAUAGCCCAUAUCCCAAAAAGAAAUAAAAAAAGCGAGUCAUGCAAAAAGAAGUUCGAAUAAAAUUCCACCAAAAAUUCCACACACAUGCACUUCUUGAUCAGAUUGUAUGACUUGCACCUCCUCAGAUUCGCCCUUUGACUUUGCAAAAUUAUGUGAUGCAAAUAUGCCUCGUUUUACAUCCUACCUAAAACCCAACAAAAAAUCCUAUUAGAAGUAGGAUGAAAAGAGGCAAUUCAUGCCUUGGUGAGGACUAUACACAUUGAGCGAUCAAGAGCAUCAUAUGAGAAACUUGUUUUCAUUUCAAAAACCUUCGGAAAUAUAGUUGAACAAGAAGUAAGUGAAUGGUGACUUUAUAUAACCAUUCUAUUUUGCAACCGCCAAAGACAAGGAAAAAGCCAAAAGCCCCAUGGGACUAAGGUAAAAAAGGGGGACAAUGCUAACUUAUUCAAUUCAAGGAAGAAUCCUUUGUUGUACACAUCAUAUAUGGAAGAAAGAAGGUAUUGUAGCAACUCCUAAGCAACAACCUAAGUCUUAGUUUUUGCUCGGGAUGAGAAAAGGGCAAGCUUGGGGGAGUUUGUUGACGGUCCUUAUGUUAGAAAUCCGACCAUCAUACUACUCAAAGAAUAAAGGAAAACUAACAUUCCUUACUCAUAUAUUUGUUAUCAAUAACCUAGCUCCACAUGUAUUGGCAAAUAAGUUAUUUCAGGGAUACAAGUCUGUACAAGAGAGGAAACAUGCACAAAUGUGGACAAAAAACACAGAAGAACACAUGGCGGUUAAGAAGGCCCACAUGCCAAAGAAAAUCAGUCCAAUCCCACGUGGAUCAACAAGGGAAAUAACUAAGGCCCACCAGGUAGCCCACCACACAAAGGCGGUGGUGAGGCAGCCCAGCCCAGGGUCAGCCGAACCCCAGGUUUGGCUGAACCUAGACAGGCACCCCUCGCCCUCAUCCUCCACGUGGUGAGCCCUGGUUGACUCCCAAAGGCGGUGGAGGAAGAUUCCCCAAAGAUGCCUCCCGGGAACAGCCUCUACACACCUAUAAAGAGAGGAGGAGGAGCCCCUCUCACACAUACCACACUUGAAGCCUCUCUCCCUCUCUCUCUCUCUCUCUUGCUACUCUUGUAAUCCUUAGGCUAGUGGAGUUAGGCUAGAGCUAAAUUCUUGUAGUGCUAAGCUAUUCUUUGGGUCGGUUGGGGACGUAACCUCCGGCUCUCGAUAUGGCUUUGUACUCGACUUGUCGGUAUCCUAUCUAUAAAGAGUAUGGUUGCUAUGCUAUUUUGGUAGUAUAUUAUGCCAUGUCUUGUGCUUUUCUAAGUUAUACUCAUAUACUUAGGCUAAAUCUAUGUUACCGCAUCGGUUUGUUGUUCCUUCGGGCUUGCUCUAGUUCUAUGCCUGUCAAUCAUCAUGGUCAAGGUUCCGGAGGGGCUAGAAUAGUGAUCAUGUAUAAGAGCGUGGUGCUCGGGCAUGUUGGGAUCCAUCAAAUAUGACUGUGCCCCAUGGUCUGAGGGGUAGGCGGUAGGUGGUGAUAGCCCUGUCCAUCCCUUGUAGUCCCCCACGUUCAAGUAUGGCGUACGAGUUCUGAAAGAUAUCUUGCCUUGGCAGACCAGGACCGGGUAUUCUCCCCAUAAUGUUGUAUGCCUAGAGUUAGCUCUGAUUAUAUGCUUGUAUGACCCUUGCUAGUAUAGAUAGUUGCCACUAGGACCUCUUGUAUGCCUUGCUCCCCUUAAUCCUUAGGCUUAUUCUUUUAUUCUUUAUUCUUGAGAUUGGUUUGUGUGUGUCACAUUACCCUCAUAUAUUUAUCAUAGCUUACCCUUGUAUGAACUUUGGUCUAUUAUUUGGAUCCUGGAUAUGUAUCCAAUAAAUCUUUUUACACCAAUGCCAUCCUUUGGGAAAAUAUAAAUAACGAUACCCUGAAUACUCUCCGGGUGAAAUGCUACAAUGACAUAUCCGAGUACUUGCGGAUUUAUUUGUAAUGUUAAGAAAUACCAACAGAGAUGCCAACCAUGCAUGCGGUGCAGAGAGGAGCGAGGCCGCGUGGAGAAUAAAAAGGAGUAUGUGGAGAUAGGGCUAGCCGGCUGGGUACCGAUUCAUUUCAGGGGAAGAUAAUGGAUAUUUUGGUUCGGUCGUGUGUAAAAGUUGGGGUGGAAACUCUAAAUGUAUCUUUGGGAUAAAUUUUGAAUCCUUAAUGUAGCUAUACUCUGAGAGGGGGUACUAUGCUGAUCCCUCAAGAACUCUGUUAUUGCCAGCUUGGUGUUAAAUUCAGCGAAAAAAAAAAGGUUGUCUCCCACCAUUCCUACCUCCAAUUCCCUUGGGUGUCCCAGGCUGAAAGCAUAGGAAAACAUUAAUGUUUGUAAAUAUAAGGAACUUUCUCAAUCACCAAAUGCUUCAGCACAGGAAAUUCUGGGUCUUCGGUAUCGACUAAAACCGAUGUUUCAUUCUCCUUUCCAGUCAGAUCUCUAUAUACUAUAUAAAAACCAAAGGGGACAUAAAAAAGCGGUCCGUUGUUAGGCCGGGUGCUCGAUGUCCCUCGCUUCGGUGUUUUUCGUCCGUCGGUUCGGCGUCGUCCGCUUGGAAGCCGUUGAAUCGGCACUUCCGUGAAUUGCAGUGCGCGGCCUUUCUCCUCCAUCCAUUUCCCUCCGCGCGGAACACUCUGGGUCCUUGGGUCCUUCUCCCUGCGUGCCAUCCGCCGCCGCCACUCCUUACGUCGUGCCGCCAGCCGCCGGCGCCGUCACUCCCUUCGUCGCCAUCCGCCACCGCCCCUUCCUUCCUCGCCGCCGCCCCUCUUCCGUCGGCCCCGUGGCGAACACCGGUGCCGGCCCUGGAGCCACCUCGUACUCCCAAAGGCCCUGAGGCCCAGGUUCUUCCCUCUCCCUCAGAUCUGUAUGUGUGCAUGUAGAUUUUCUUGAUAAAGGGAUGGAAAAUGGAUUGGUUACAUUGAUCUUGAUGUGUUCAUGCUGAUUUGUCGAAAUUCGAAUUGAAAAAUGGAUUGAUAUGUGCAAUCUGGAUGUGUACGAAUCUGAAAAAUGGAUUGAUAUGUGCAAUCUGGCCAAUAACCAUGUAUGAUUUCACUCAGGAACCUUUCUGACAUGAAAAUUUAUCAAAUCAGUAUGUCCUGCUUUGAUUUGAUGCGCCUGUUGUGCAAGAACAGGAGGAGCGAUCAAUUGAGGACUCGUCGAUUACGGAUACACUGAAGGGUGCCGGUGAUGCCAGCACCAACGCCCAUCAUGUACGCAUUCUCCUCUGAGAUCUGCUUCUCUAGCUAUAUUCUUCUUCUUUGCUACUUGGUGGAUCUGGAUACAUGAUAUAUCAUAUAUCUUAAUGUUUUUUUGUCUCGAUUGAUUCAAUUCAGAUUGGAGAAGACUCCAAACCACAUGCGAAAAUGGAAUGUUAAGUGGUUCUGCAUUAUGAGCAUGAUGAAUUAUCUGUUUCUUUAUUGAAGCUAUACAUUUAUCUGCAAUGCAUGCUGUAAGCAUUGUUUAACUCUGACCAGUUUUAGUUAUCGUAUUAUUUUCAGGGUCAUCUGAUUUUAUUUUUGGGUGGAAAAUAACAAACUGAGAUGAGACAAACUAUGUGUGCCCUGCAUAGAUCUCCCAAGUUCAUAUAUGUGGGCCUGCAUUUUUGCCUAUAGCUAUCAGAUAAUGGAGUCAGGUUGAAAGUUGUAGGUUUUGAUUGCAAUUUGAAGAGGCAUGUCUAGAACAGGAUGUCUCUUUGUAUUGGCUAGGAAAAUUAAAUUUCCAAAUCCCAAUGUUGAUGUAUGUUCUACUGAUUUAUCCUAUAAGGUCUCCUGAUUUUGCAUUCUUGUGCUGACAGGUGCUUAAUCUUUUGCCCUUGCAGUCUAGCUUGUGUCGAUAUCUUGCAGAUGCAUUCAAGGAAAAUGUACUUGAUGCAUAGUAUUGAUCAGAAAAGGAUAAAAAAAAGAUGGACGGUGCCUCAAGGGCUGCACUGGAGUUUUUUUAAUAGGUUGAUCUCCUUCCUAGAGACACUGAUUUGAACUACAUCUGCUACUGUAUUAUCGAGUUAGUUGUCAAGUAGAAGCUUAAGUACGAAUUCCAGUGAAAACUGUACAUCGUCAAAAUGGCUUAGUCACAUGUUCAAAGGAACUGUAGUUUCAUCAAUGGAGAUCUCAUUUGGCAUGUACACUAAAUCCUGAUUGCCAAUAGGAUCUAUGUUCACCAUUUACAAGCAGUUUUUCACUAGCAAUAUUGGUAGACUGUUACCUUCAUGCAUAUGAUUCCCCUAUUUUUUCUGUCAGAACUGCCAGGGGAAGCAGGUUGCCAGAUCGGUAGUAAAAGUUGGGUGCAUCAUGUUGUCAGAUUCAGGUUCUUUGUUUGUGGCCAGAAAAUAUUCAGAACUUGAGCAGCACAGCAUCAUGUCUGAAUUUAUUUUCUUUGACAGUGGUUCAAAUUGAGGUAUUUUAUUCAUAUCUGCAACAUACAUAGCAUCUGAGCAAACUUGAUUAAGGUGGUUCAAAUUGAGCGGCAUACGUAGCUUCUGCAUAUUAGUUUGAAUUUCUUGAAGGUUAUGUGAUGAGGACUCUUUGCGGUACUUUUCAGGCACCUUAUUUUCUUUGAUGCUCCUUUAUUGGGGAGGAGGCGCCUCUUGAAGCAGGGACUAAUCCUGAUAUGCUUUUGUAAAUCAUAGAAUGCUCAACACCUGAGACAUAUUUGCAGUUUUCUAUUUGUUUAUUCUUAUGUGAAGGUAACAUUGCCCGGGUAAGUUCAGGGUUAUUAAAUGGUUACAAAAAUUCCAUUUUUAUUUGAUGUGCCAAAUUCAGUAAUUAUCGAUCAUAUUGGGGAAAUGUGUCUUUCUGGAACCAAUGAAGUGAAUUGCAUGUCAAAUUUCAAUAAAAACAACAUGAGCGACUUAAAGAAACUUCAGUUGUAGCAUACAUUCGUAUGAUUCUUGACUUACGAUAUGGAGAUCAUUAUUCAUUCAUGAUCGUUGGAUGCUAGAUCUGGGAGAAGAUUACUUGACCUUUGCUCGAUUUGUGGAAAGAUUUGACUGAAUAUUUGGGAUAAGUUUUUUAUUGCUUGAUAUCAUUGUUGACAAGGGAAAGCAUUUGGGCAAGCUUCCAUUUACCAGCUGCAGGGUGAGGAGGCAAUUGGUUUGGUUCAGUCUUACUGGUCUCAGUUGCGUGCUUCCUGUACAUAAAAACUGUUUAACCCCUGCAGAGAACAUGGUGGAACAAUGUGCUGAUUGAGCGGGCUUGCUGUAUGGUGUGGUUAUGUUAGAGUUGUUUGUGCACCGCAUUCUAAUCCUUUAUGGUUUGUGUGCAGAUGAAGAGAGUUUUGGAGAAGACUGGCUGUUGAUUUGUAGCAGACCAAGUUGAACAAUCCUAUUCAUCUGCUCAGGAAAGUGGUCUGAUAUCCGAAGUCAAAAUUACAUUGAAGACGCCAUCCAUGCAUCUCUGAUCUAUCAAAGAAUCAUGGAUACAAGUUGGAGGAUGAUGCGUUCAUUAGAAACAAAAUCUCGCUAAUUGAUAAAGUAAUUGCCUUCUACGAGGUAAUUGAAUCUUCAAUGUUACCCGUCAAGCAGCUAGGAAAGUUUUUACUGGGUCUAUGCAGCUUCUGUCAAGUUUCAGUUCAUUGAACUGUUUUUGUUACAGAAAGUGAAUCUAAUCACCGAUUCUUUUGAUUUGCCAAUAACCUUACAAUUUCACUCAGCAACCUGCCUACCUCUGCCAGAAGUUGAUUGCAAUUUGCAAAAAGUAUGUUUUCAUGCCUUGUGAUAUGAGUAUUCAAUAGUCACGAUUGGCAGAAAAGUGAAACUUCUUGACGAGUGGUUUGACAUUUCUUGUUAUCACAUUGGUAAUUGUACUAAAUUAUAAUGUUUUCAUUCGGUGCUAAUUGCUAAAGCAAGUUAAAUUAUAUAUGAACUCAAUUUGAUUUUGAAUGGUUCUCCGCAUACGUUAAAAUUUCUAUAUUGCUAUUUUGAUGCUUGUGAAGGGAAAUUGUGUUGCCCGUAGCAAUGCAUGGGCACGAUCCUAGUUAAGCUUAAAAAAUAAAUUGAACGCCUACUCCUCCAAUCCAUAGGAUUUCUCCUUGCCAGUUGUUUCCUUCCCCCUAUUAGCUCUAGGAGUAGAGAUGGAAACUUAUUUUUUGAGCUGAAACUAUGAGGGAAAGCGUCCCGUUAAUUGAAUUAAAUAAAUAAAAGGGAAUGUUAUUUACAAGAGCAACUACACUAGAGAUGGAACCUUCUCCUACUUCCAAGCUCCAAGACUGUAAUCUAAAGUCUUCUUCCCCUGUAUCCUCGUCAUCAGGGCCGGCCUGAGGGGGGCAGGGUGGGCGGCUGCCCCAGGCCCCCAAAUCUCAGGGCCCCACCCCAGGUGUCAGGUAUGCUUAUUGCCUAAAUCGCGAUUAGAUCCAAUCAUAACUCCGCACCCGACCAGUCGACGACGAUGCCUAGGGCCACCGCCACCUCGUGCACUCGUGCGCUGCCGCUGCGCGUCGACGACGGUCGACGGAGUUCCUGUUCAAGUGACGACUGUGCCGGCAGCCCGACAUCAUCCAGGUACGCGUACGCUACUCGUAUAUACGCGCGCGUGCACAACGCCAGAACCCCGGCGGCCCGGCGAUUGCUGAUUCGCUGUAACGUUGUUCCUGCAUGCAGUUGCAAAUUUGCGAUCGUUGUUCCUGCUUCCUGAACGAGCGCACGGCUUGUUGGCUUGUUGAUACAUUGAGACUUGAGAACCCCCGCACGCCGCCGGUUCUCGGCUUGUUGGCCUGUUGCUUGUGGACCAUGCGGUUGGCGCCAAUUCACUUUUGUGAUCAGGUGAGUCGCUUGCCAAUUCCCCAAUCUCUAUACCAUUAAUUAUUAAUUCACUAUCACAAGUUAUUUAAUCUCAACUGAUUUAUAACUAUUGUGUAUUUAUAAUAAUUUCAGCACUGUGGGAUAUCAUGUCGUCUAGAAAAUAUGAAUCAGGUAACGCGAAAAGGAAAAGAAAAAGAUGUGUGGAUGAGUUGAUAGAAUCACAGAGAAGAGCUAUGGAUAAAUUUUGCAAGAGUAAUCAAGGCCUGAGAGUAAUACGGGCGCUUUGACGAACCCAGAUGAGUUGGCAAUAGUUGUUGUGGAUGAACCAACUAAUGGGAAUCAGGAAGAAAAUGUUAACAUCAACGUCGAUGAUAACAAUGUAAGUGACUCUAAGAACACAGUCAAGGCACUUUUUUAUUGAGCUCAAGCACUUUGAAGUCAUUAAAUGAUAAUGAACUUGAAGAAUGUUGCACUAAAUUUGUAGAAACUUUUUCUUUUGAUGGUUCAUCUGAUGUUGAGGUAUAUGAUCUUAUUUCUGAAUUAAAGAUUAUGAAAUUCACUUUGCCAGAUGGGUGUAAUGUCUGCUAUGGAGAUUUUCGAGCAUGUUAGAGAUGUGGAUUGUUAUCUUAAUGUCUCCAUUGCUUACUAACUUUUAUUUACUAUGCCUGUGACUGUCACAUCGGCUGAAAGAAGCUUUUCAAAGUUGAAGUUAUUGAGGAACUAUUUGAGGUCAACAAUGACUCGGGAGAGGUUAAAUGGUUUGGCAACAUUAUGCAUCGAGAAAAAAUUGUUAGAUGAGAUUGACAUCAACCCUAUCAUAAGUGACUUUACAUCGAGGAAUGUUAGAAGAAACUUUUAAGGUAAUAUGUAUAAAUAAUUUGAUAUGAAGAUUUUAGUUUAUAUUGGUAAUAUUUCAUAUAUAUUUAUUAUAAUGUUUAUAUUAUAAUGUUUAUAUUAAGAGCUCCGAGUUUUACUUUCACCCGAACCUCGCAAAUCUCAGGAUCGGCCCUAGACCGGCCCUGCUCGUCAUCAACCACCUGCUGACCAGCAAGGCUUUGAGCUCUGAACAAGGAUGCGCAUUGAUGGGAUCAUCCAUGUUCGUCCUGAGCCAGUGGAGACAGUUGGUGAAGAGGAGGACAAAACGAACGUUAGAAAUAAUUCCUCUAUUGUUGACUUGGGAACGUCGAGAAGCCACCAUACAUGAAUUUACAUUAUCAACCAUUCAGUUCUCUUGUUGCUAGACGGCGUAGACGCUUUUAUGAUUGCCUCUAGUGCAACUUUAUGUUUAUGUGAAUGCAUUAACCAUCAAAUGCAAAUAGAUGAUUAUUGAUAUUUCUAGGAUAAACAGAGGAUACAUGCUAGAUGGGUAUGGUUGCAGAACGAUUCGAUUUUCCCAUCCGUUUUCAUAAGGUUUGAAAGUGAGAGGAGUGGGCCCACUCACCAGACAUCGACGAGCACAAGUGCCUUAACAUUGCAAAAUAGGUAUGGACGCAAACGUUGUUAACGGCGCACACCUACCACUGAAACAAUAACACAAUUAAAAUAAAAAAUAUGAGUACUCAUGCCAAGCUGUGGACUUGAUGAACAUAAAUAGGUAGAUUCCGCCACAAGAAAUAUAAUGAAAUAAUGAACAAUCAGUUAGCUGUUAAUCGCAUUGUAUUUGUCUCCGACUUUCUUCUCCUUUUACUUUUUUUUUUUGCAGAAACAAUGACUAUGGCUAACUUCGCUUCAAAAAAAAAUGACUGGCUAACUGUGAAUGACGAUCUAUCUGCCUCCAUGAUUAUGAACUCGGCUCUACUUGCUCAUGGCAGUUUCCCAUCAUGGCAUUAUUCUGUCUGUUCAAUGCUGUCUCAUGCGCUAUCCAGUCCUCGUACUACUACAGCCCACAUCGUGAUCUAAUCAAUGUUAAAUGCACUUUAUGCGAGCCAAUUGUGGAUGAGGCAAUCAAGCCCAUGUUUGCAACACAAAAAUGAAUCUUGAUAAGUUGGCAGGACAGGAAGCAAUUCGAUUCCAUGUGAACCGUGCCAAGUCUGAAACUCGUAAAACUGUUGCAAACAAUGGUUGGAAUAUCGUGCAGUUAAAUUCAAAUUCGGAGGUGUGAAGCUAGGAUCUUAAGUUGUGCAAAACAUGGCGUAAUUAUUGGAUCCUUUUGUAGCGAAGGAAACCAAACCGGCCACUGCAGUUUAGCCCUUGUUUAGUUGCCCAAGUUGGGACCUCCCAACUUGGGAGUUACUGUUUGGCCGGAAUUUGGCCCUUUGUACAGAAUUCUGGAGCUCCCAAUUUCAGAAACUUUGGAGUUCACUGUUUGAGCAUUUAAACCUAGGACAUCUCUGCAUGGCCCAUGCAUGCACACAUGCAAAAAACGCAUGAACAGCUCAGGGGACAACACAAUCGCAUUUUCAACAGCAACCCUUCAACUAAAAUAUCUCAAGUACAUCAACAAAUUAUGACAGUAACAACACCGUUCCAAAUUAUUACAGUCACAACACCGUACAGUCACAACACCGAAAACUGUAACAGGGAAUCACAAAGUACAUCAACAAUGACAUGUCCUCAAUCACAAAUUAUUCAAGAAUGAGCAAACAAAUGUUGAGCAAGCAUGUCUCGGAAUGCAUUCAUGCUUGCCAUGUCCGCGCUCUCUGGCGCAGGAACUGUAUCUGGCUGAUCCUGAGUGCCUUCAACAGGCACAUAAUUUAUGUUGUUGUCCACUAUACCAAAGUGACUAUCAAAGUCACCAUUAAUCCUAAUGAAGUUGUGCAACGCCAUGCAUGCACAUAUUAUCAGUGUCUGUGUUUUAGGUGGAUAGGCCGGGAUGUCCAACAAUAUGCGCCACUUCAUUUUCAACACUCCAAACGCCCUUUCAAUCACAUUUCUAAGAGAUGAAUGUGCGAAGUUGAAUAUCUCCUUCAUACCUUGUGGUUCGGGCGCGUUUUGGAAGUCUUGGAUGUGAUACUUGGCCUGCCGGUAAGGAGCCAGGAAGCCGGUUCGGUUUGCAUACCCCGAGUCCACCAAGUAGUAUUUCUCUAUAUGAACAGUAUAUACCUGUAAGUUUACGAUAGUGCAAUUAGAAAAUAGUAAUGAGUGGGAAACAGGGUUGUGUACCUCUAGGUGGCUUUGGGAAGUGGUCUCUGUAAGUUGUCAUUGCAUCGUCAAACACCCUCAUGUCAUGAACCGAACCCGGCCACCCAGCAAGGACAAAAGUAAAGACCAUAUCAAAGUCACAGGCAGCCAUGACAUUCUGGGUUGUCUUGCCCUUCCUACACAUGUGCUGCAUAAACUUUCCACUAGGCACAACAACAGGAAUGUGAGUGCCAUCUAUUGUUCCUAUGCAACCCUUGAAUUCAGGGUAGAACCGAUUGUUUUGCAGCCUAGGAUGCAGUGAUCUAAAGUCUGGGUCACGAGGUUUAAUUAUGUCGGCAGAAAGUCUACCAGACAAUUGAGGACUUUGUAAAAUAGUCUAUGAACAGUGGCUAGUGAUCUCUCGAAUCUGUCCUCUGCUUGCCUAACUGAUUGUGGUGCCCCACAUAUCCAAAGGAACAAUCCUAGAGCCUCAAUAGUGCUGGUUUUGUUAGAUGUUCUAAGACCAUACUGAGAUGUCAACAAAUCAUGCAGCCUAUGAAACAUGUGUGGGGUCAUCCUAAACAUGUUGUAGCAGGCUGAUUCAUUGUCAAGCUUGUUCAGUACCCAUUGCUCCCCAGUCAAGGCUGGAUUCCUAUACGGCCGCCUAUUGCAAUACUUGUCCACAUGAAUAGCAUAGGCAUACAUACCGAAGAUAAAAGGUGCUUCAUCGUCUUCACACGCCAAGGACCACCAGUCCUCCCACCAGGUGUUGAAAAGGUCCAGCACUUCUUCGACUUCAUCUUCUGUACAUUCAUCUUCUAAGGCUUCAUCUAGUAAGGCUUCAUCUUUUGCGGCUUCAUCUUCUGCAGCAGCAUCUUCUGCAGCAUCAUCUUCGAAGGCUUCAUCUUCUGAGGCUUCAUCUUCUGCAGCUUCACCUUCUGAGCCAUCAUCUUCUGUAGCAUCAGAAGGUUCAACAUCCUGGGCAUUGGAAACAAGACAGGCACAGUCAGUUCAAUUCAGUUUGUAGCAACAUUACUAAAGCCUGCUACCUCCAUUCAAACACUCAUUCAUCUCACACAGAGGCAAUCAAUUUCAGAAAUAAUAAUCAACAUUACUAAAGGGAGAACCAUGCUUGUAAUUAAACAUGUCCUGACAUAGUUCGUCAUAGUUCAUCAUCACAGCUUAAAUAAUGACCACCACAACUGAAAUGACCUACACGCCAUGACCAUCACACACAAAAGACAGGCCAUCAUCCCAACAGUACUAAAGGGACAAUAACUAAACAAUGCAUGGAUGUUAGGGUCUGGUAUUAGACCGUAGCAGCAUAUUGCUUGAUCAUGGAGAGCCUUGCUUCAACAGGUGUGCACAGGAAGAUGUUGCAUAGAUCCUCAUGCAUGCAGAUCUUGACCACACCAUUCCAUAGAUGUCCAUCCAUGAGGUGCACUCCAAGCUCUUUCGCUGCAUCUGUAACUUGUUUCUGUUCUUCUUUCCUAGCACGCCUUUCUUCUUUCUGUUCUUCUUUCCUAGCAUCCCUUUCAUGAAGCUGCUGUGCCAUCCUAGCCUCCCUUGCUUGUUCCUGUUGUGCCAUCCUAGCCUCCCUUUCUUGUUGCAGCUGGGCCAUCCUAGCCUCCCUUUCUUGUUGCAGCUGGGCCAUCCUAGCCUCCCUUUCUUGUUUCCUCUUCUCCAGUUCCUCUUCAAUGCCCUUAUUCUUAUCCAAUAUCGCCCUUUCCAAUACAGAUGUCCUUGUAUCAUAAGACAACUUGAAAUUUGUCAAUUGGUUGUUCAUGUUGCGAGGUGUGCUGCCCUUGUUCUUCUUGGUGGGGCUUGUAGCUGUGCUGCGGAAGCUACUGGUGCUCCUCUUGCUCCCAGUGCUGACUAGGGUCGCACAGCUCAGAGGGGUGCCACAGUCAGCUUCAGCGUCAUCUUCCUCGCCGCUAGAGAUGAAGCUAAUCUGCCGGCUGACCCCUGGAACAAAGGAGGUCUCUCCAGUCACUACAACCCCACUGAACAUCCGGUCCAUCUGGUCAAUGUAUUCUGGCCAUCCGUCCUUCAACUCAUACCAGUUGGCGUGCCCCUGCAAUGCAAAUACAACCCACACAGAAACUUCAGAAGGUAGUAGACAUUUGUUGUAAUUACACAAUGAGGUCUUGACAGAUUAGUUACCCUUGUCUUGUCCUCCCACCACUUGUCAGAAGCAACAACAGAGCCAUCUUCUCUGUGCCCCAAGCCUGUGCACUUGGUGCGAAGAUGGUCGAUGAACUGCCACAUCGACUUCAACUGCCUGUACUUGUAACCAAACUGCUCGUUGUUUCUUAACUUCCCAGUGGCCUCUAGGAACUUAUCCCGAACAUCUAUCCAGCCCCACUUGCUCAUGUUCCCGUUCUUGCAGUUACCCAAGUCAAUCUGCUGGCAGUAAAGCUCACAAAACAACUGAGUGUCCUCUUUGGUCCACUUGGCCCUGGUUGGCUCAGUCUGUGCACAAUGUAAUUGAAACAGCAAUGCAUGAAACAGCAAUGCAAUCUAUGCACAAUGUAAUUAAAACAGGAAUGCAUGAACUCCUAUUGACAGUAACCAUGACUAUCCUACACACAUGACUAUCCUACACAUUUCAUGCACACCAGUUGACCAGAUCAUGGAAGGAAAGAGGGGGACAGGCAGCAAGUACCGAAGUGUUGUCGGCGUCAACUGCUUCAGCCGCGCCUCGACGCCGGGAACCGCGGACCGUGGCUGGAGGUCGCUGUUGCCGACGCCCGGGAGCCGCGGCCUGAGCACCGCUGCCGGAAGCCUCUCGGCGGGGACGGGUGGCCCGGCUGCUGCCGCCUGCUGCGCCUUGGUGGCCGGAGCGAAGGAUGCCUUCGUAGUCGUCCAUGUGCGCCCACCCGGAGGAUGCGUUGAGGUUCAGGCCCGACAUGCCCAGGUGGGUUGGGGUGGGCACGGUGGACGACGACAUGUGAUGCGGCCCGGAGGAGUAGGGGUUGUAGGAUCCGGUCCCUGCGCCCGGCGGCGCCAGGGAGAAGAAGGUCCUUGUGCGGUGGCCGGCAUCGUGGUCGGGGACGCUGCCGAAGUCCACCCCCGAAGAAUCGUUGUAUCCCCCGCCGUUGAAGGCGGCGGGGUUGCCAGAUCCGCCGGCGGAGAAGGCCGCGGGGUUCCCGGAUCUGCCGGCGAUGAAGCCCGCGGGGACUCUGGAUCCGCCCGCGGUGAAGCCCGCGGGCGGGCCGGAUCCGCCGGAGAGGAAGGCCGCGGGGACUCUGGAUCCGCCGGCGUUGAAGGCCCCGGGGUACCCGGACUCGCCCGGGACGAACUCCGAGCCGUUCCCGUCGCCGUUGAAGUCGUCCAUCGUCGCGGAUGGGGUCAAGAACGGUGGAUCCGGGACAGGUCGCGGUGGAUCCGACGGAGAACGUCCUGGAUCUGGUGCUGCAGUGCUCGAUUCGAGCGCAGGCGGCAAGGUGAGCGGCGGGGGAGAGGGAGAGCGGCGGGGGAGGGGGAGAGCGCCGCGGGGGAGGGGGAGAGCGGCGGGGUCAGGGCGAGCGGCGGGGGAGAGGGAGAGCGGCGGGGGACCGGAAAGCGGCGCAGGGGGAGAGGGAGAGGGACUGGGGGCGGUGCUAGGGUUCUGCGCGCGGCCGGUGGUAAGGUGUCGAAGUUUGGGCCAAAAUCGGGACAUCCCAGAGGCCGAAUUUGGACCCAACUUUGGCAGCCCGUUUACUUGAAAACUCCCAAAAGGUAGUCCAAUUACUGUACAAAGGCCAAUUCGGGCCUCAAGUAAACCCAAUUCGGGCCUCAAGUAAACAAGUAAACCCAAUUCGGGCCUCAAGUAAACAAGGGCUAGGGUUCUGCGCGCGGCCAGUGGUAAGGUGUCGAAGUUUGGACCGAAAUCGGGACAUCCAGAGGCCGAAUUUGAACCCAACUUUGGCAGCCCGUUUACUUGAAAACUCCCAAAAGGUAGCCCAAUUACUGUACAAAGGCCUCAAGUAAACAAGGGCUUACUAUGUGAAUGAACAUUUCUGCAGUUUACUAUGUGGAAGCAAACGGGGCCUAAUUGUCAACCUAGCAUGGGUGGAGCCAAUCAAGCGCACAUGACAACCUCACAUGAAACACAACAGAAACAAGGAUAAACUGCCCGUUACCUACAUAACACCAUUAAUCCAUCAAUGUUCCGAGUUCACACCAAUAUCCAGACCAGGACCAAUUACUUAAACAUGCUGAAAUUUAACGACCAUCAGAGCAUUUCAGCGAAUACUACUACACUGACUAACAAAAGCAACAACACUACUACGAUGCCAUCAGUCCCCAUAGAUUAUUCUCGUCCCUGACAACGAGUUAAGCGACGACCAUCACCACCAUCCACCACCGCCGACUAAGGCCUUGAGGAGCGCAUCCGUCGGGCGGCGACGACCACGGCGGUCGGGGGGCUUCUAGCCACACUUCUUGGCGGAGGUGGAGGAGGCGAAGGCCCAGGUGACGCCGAAGGGGUCGACGAGGGUGGCGCCCAGCCCGCAGCCGUCCUCGGUUACCUCCCCCUGCAGCGCCGCACCGGCGGUCGCCGCCUGCGCCGCGGCAGCGUUCACGUCGUCGGUCUCCAGGCGCAGAACCAGCCCACUAGCGGCGGCGCCUUCCUUGCCCCUGCAACAAACAACAAGCACCAAAAGUGUGAGACUUUGAGCAGGGAACAGAGUUUUAAUGUCCAUUUAUUUGCUCGGUGUUAAGUAAAUAGCAAAACCUCGUACUCCAGAAUACUAGUACUAUGUAACCGAGCAAUAACUGUUUCACAUUUUUCUCCAAAUGAAAUAUAAAAUAAAAGUAUUAAACACAGAUUUCUUUGGAGAGAUGCCACUGCAAUGAGUAGAUCUAUUUUUAUUUUUUUUGAAAAGGUGAGUAGAUCUAUUCUUCUCUAAAAAAUUAUGGCAAUAUCUGAGUUCAAAAACAGUAGCAAACUCAUUUCCUGUGUGCCUUCGCAGUUUCCAAAGUAGACAAAGUACAGAUGAACUGCACGAGGCCAAAAGAGCACCAAAAAGAGUGCAGACAAACAAAGUAGGACAAGGGAGAAAACAAAAAACAAAACAGGGUUCUAUUUCCAUGAUGUUCCACUUCCACACCUUCAGAUCUACAUUAAUAAAUGCUAACAGAAUCACAUGUGGAUGUUGACGUACCGAAAAGAUCUAUGUAAGCGGCCCCAAAAAAACCCCAAGAAACCAGUGCAGAGCAGCAGUGAAGCUGAAGAAUGGUAGUUCCAAGCUAAAACUAACUGGAUCUAAAAUUCCUGACAAGUGCCAAACUGAUUCUCACAAUACUAAAGCAGAUGUUCACAGAUCUACGAACUUCAACGCAAAAUAUGUGACAAGAAACGAAAUAGCAGUGCAUCUACCAUGUAUUACAUGCCAAGAACAACAAAAAAGAAUGGGAACUAGGAAGGAAAGGAGCAGAAAGGGUUUAGCGAGGGUUUCCGGGAGCUUACACGGCGGGGACGUCGUCGCCGGCCUGGUCACAGACGAGCAGGGUCGCCGCGCCGACCUUCAGCUCGGCGCAGAGCAGGGCCGCCGCCUCCCCGUCACCCUUGCGCUUCGGGUGGGUGGAGCGGGACACCUCCUCCGCGGCGAAAGCGGCCUUGUAGAAGGCCACCGCCUCCUCGGCGCGCCCUGCCGGAACCGUCACCUGCACCUUCAGCCCGGAGAACACCGCCGGCGCCGGCACGGCCGCCGGGGCGGCGAGCACCUCAGAGCCGUUGGUCGCCACCUCCGCCAUUGCUCAGGGAAGAUUUGGCUCUCCUUUACUGUUGUGCGUUCCUUUCUCCUUGGGAGCACAGCAGAGUGGG